AGCUAUUGGAAGGAGUUUCUCCAUUAUGAAUAAUGAACAAAUUGAUGGCAAUAAGGAGAUGGUAGCAAUUGGCCUUAUGAAUAUUGCUGGCUCUUUCACUUCUUGCUACUUGACUACGGGUAAUUUAGUUGUAAGACUGAAAUAAGUCGAUUGUUGUCAUUCUGAAUGUCAUUCUGAAAAUUAGGGUUUAGAAGUCUUUCGUCUAGGAGAUAUAGCUUCUCAGCGUAUCUACUAAUUAUUUUCAGGGCCAUUUUCAAAAACUGCGGUGAACCACAACGCGGGAUGCAAGACUCAAAUGUCAAAUGUAGUCAUGUCACUCUGCAUGUUGCUAACCCUACUAUUUCUGGCUCCGCUCUUUGGCUACACACCACUCGUUGCUCUCUCUGCUAUUAUCAUGUCUGCAAUGCUUGGCCUAAUUGAUUAUGAGAAGUUCUAUCACCUCUACAAGACAGACAAAUUUGAUUUCUUGAUUUGUAUGGUUGCCUUUUUGGGUGUUGCCUUUAUAAGCAUGGACAUGGGACUCAUGAUGUCGGUACGAGCCAAACGUCUUUCUUUAUUUCUUAAAUUAAAUUCUGUAGCCAGUCAAAUACUGUCAUAUAAAAUUAAACAGAGCGGAUGCAAUAUCACAUAGAUCAAUGUUUGAUUAUUUUUUUUUUUAACUUUUUUUUUGUGUGUGUAAUUUAGGUUGGACUUGCCUUGGUUAGAGCACUUCUAUAUGUAGCAAGGCCACCAACUUGCAAGCUUGGAAACAUAACAGAAACUGUGUUUAGAGACAUAGAACAAUAUCCUGGUGUAGAUGGAAUUCAAGGAAUUCUGAUUUUGAAGCUUGGUUCUCCAAUAUACUUCCCAAAUAGCAACUAUGUCAGAGAAAGGUAAGAAAUUGCUCUUAAUUUCUUUCUUUUAUAUGUCCCGCUAUCGGCUGGUGCACUAGGCUCCCGUUAUACGAGGGGUUCGUGCAAAGACCAAACAAUAUUCGGUCCAUGUACACAGCCUUAUUGUGAGGGGCGAAGCCACAUUUUGUUUAGUGUGGUCAAGUGAUCACCCUUUGUCAGAAAAUUACACUGUGUCAGAAAAUAUCUUUAAAGGUACAUAAUAUAUGUUGAACGCCCUUUGUCGAGAAUUUUUUUUAUUUCUUUCAAGUUUGAACACUCUUGAGGAAAUUUCUGGUUUCGCAACUGCUUAUUGAGCCUUUCUACAAGAGGCUAUUUCCACGGCUUGAAUGCGUGACUGUACUUGCCACGUGGCGGCAACUUUUAUUGCGGCGCCAAGACUCCCUCUGAAUUUCUUUAUUUUUAUUAUUAUUUAUAAAACAGGACCAAAAUGCUGCUUCUUUAAUUUCCUUAAAAAAAAUCUUCUAAUAAUUAGAUCUUAUUUUGAUGAUUAAAUUGAGCAGGAUUCUAAGAUGGGUCAGAGAUGAGCAAUCUCUUGAAAGCUCUAAAAGAAAUGAAGUUGAAUUCUUGAUACUAGAUUUUGGAGGUAUGAGUACUUAUCAUUACCUNNNNNNNNNNNNNNNNNNNNNNNNNUUGAAAUUCGUAAAUCCCUAGGCGCAAAAGGGAUCAAGGUAAAACUUUACUUCCUUAUUCAAUUACACUUACAUAGAUUAAUUAGGGCACAAAUAGUCGUUCUAUGGAUGUUAUUUAGAGAUUAACCAAUACUCAUUUUGUCCUGAAAUUUUAAAUCAAAAUCUUAACUUCAGGACAACUCGGGAUAUUUUUAUCCUGGAAAAUUGAACUUAGAAAUUAAGAUUCAAGACGCACUGUUAAUUCUUAAAUAGCAGCCCUUUAAAGUGGCUACCUGAUGUCAUUUCUACAGAUUAAUUUCACGACUGGUCACUGAACUUAUUGACUAUAAUAAUUUUGUGAGUUUACAUUUAUAGCAAAAUAAAGUUCAGUGGUCAUACGUGAAAUUAAUCGGUAUUUACACAGGAAUUUCACGAGUUUCUUAUUAUUAUUAUUAUUAUUAUUGCAAUUUCUUUUUAUGUAGAUAAUAUUGGUUAAUCCAAGAUUGGGAGUUAUGGAAAAGUUGAUAGUGACAAGAUUCAUAGAUGUGAUUGGAAAGGAAUCAGUGUUCUUAACUAUUGAAGAUGCAAUUGAAACAUGCAGAUUUUCACUAAAAUGUUCAAGCCAAUCCAAAAGAGAAGAUGUGGAAAUUGCUUAGCCUACAUUUUUUGGUUGUGGUAGGCUAGAGUUUUGAAAUAACACAACCAAAUUUUAUUUUUAUUUUUAACUGUAAAUAUGCACCAAGAAAAGAAAAAGAAAUAAAGAAAAAAUAAGUAUAGUUAAUUCUACCAUAGGGAAUUGUAGUCCUUUUUUUUCCUUCAAAUUUUAUCAACCUUUUAUCCAUUUGCUUUUAGGGUUGUUAGAAAUUUUGGAUAUUUGAGUUUGAAUAAUUUCAUUGUUACAAUUACUUUAAGAAUUUUGAUGUGUGUAUAGAGAGUGCUAAAUUUUGAUGCAAAUCUAUGUAGUUAUCAGAUGUUUAUGCUUUAUUGCUAUUACCUAGUCUUUGUUUUUUCACUCGAUAUUUGAUGCUCGUUUCCAUACCUGACUAAUUAGGAUUCACAUCGAAAAAUUUCAGUUCGAGGGGAUAAGCGCUCUUUACCAAAUAUGACUCGACGCAUCUAAUUAAUUCUUUUGAAUUGUUGAAUUCUAAAUUAAUAAAUUGUAUAUCUUAAAUGAACUUUUAAGAAAGUAUUCCAUAUUAAUUAGGAAGAGCUAUCUUUUCUUUUUAUAAGGAAUUGUCCUUCUAGUGAGCUUGUAAGGAGUUAAAAAAGGAAUUGGACUCGCCCGCACAAGAGUUGGGCCCAAAAGCAAAAUGGGUCGAUGCCCCUAGCAAGCGAACAAAAAGGUCGAAGUGCAGUAAUAGCCACUUUCAAACCCACUCUUUGAAAUAUAUUCACAAUUUGUAAUGUAUUUAAAGAUUAGCCAAUUCAUCCAAACUUCAGGACUAAGUAUCGUGAAUUUGAAAAUUUGGGAUUAGUAUCCUGAAUUUUUGAACUGCUAAUUUGAAAUUCAAGACUGCGUGUCCUGAAUAUUUAAACUAGUAAUUUAAAAUUCAGGACAUAAGAUUCGAACUUCUUGACAAAAUUUUCGAACUUUAGGACACGAUGUCCUGAAGUAUGAACUUUGAGGUUUAAACUCUACGACGUCGUGUCCUGAAAUUUGAGCAAUUGACUAAUUUUUAAAUAUAUUAUAAACUGUGGAUAUAUUUUAAACAACCUGUUUAAAAGUGGCUAACUGGUGUCCUUUCCACGAACAAAAACUAGUAGCCCAACAAACUUAUGUUACUAUUACAAGACAUAAUCCAAUCAAAGAGGAAGGGCCUUAUGUUAUUAAAAUGCUUUGUAACUAAUAUUUUUUGGUAAAAAGUUGCUUAUUUGUAUGAACUCUUGCAUUAACUUCCUGUAGUUCAAAAACUUUAAUGUAAAUGCAGAUCGUCUUCUUGACUUCAACGACUUUAUUGAAGUGAUGAAAAACACUAAACAUAGAACAUAUUCAUGCCUAGGUGUUUUUUUAGAAAGAGUAAUUCGGUGUGCUAAACUUCCGCUAUGCGCGGGAUUCGAGGAAGGGCCGGACCAUAAGAGUCUAUUGUACGCAGUUUUACCUUGUAUUUCUGCAAGAGGCUAUUUUUACGACUCGAACUCAUGACCUCCUGGUCAUAUGACAACAACUUUACCAGUUACGCCUAGUUAUUUUUAAUGAACCAUAAAUCAAGCUCAAAGGUGUUUUUAAUGAUCCAAUAAAUCAAGUUCAAAAUUUUCCACAAUAUAAGAUGAAUGUGGUAUGCUUCACAUAGUUUAAUACUUCCUUCCAACUUUGUUGGAUUUCAUUAAAAGAAUAUCAUUUUUGUGUAUUCUUAGGAAGAAAAGUAGUUGCAUAGUUUCCUUACCAAAUAAAGCUUGUCAUAUCAUCAUUUAAUUUCCUUGAUAUUUUGAUAUCACUAUCAACUAUUCCUAAAUUCUAAAGCGUUUGGACAUAGAUUUGAUUAAAACUUGAAAAAAUAAUUUUUGAAGUUGUGUUGAAAAAUAAUUUUUGAUAGUUAAAGUGAUGUUUGGACAUGUAUUUUAUUUUUAAAAAAGUUAAAGUUUUGUGAGUGGAAGAAAAACUUUCACCCAAAAACUGCCUUAAAUCAAUUUUUAAAAAUUUGAAAAUAUGAAUUUUUCCCCCAAAACAUGAUCAUAUUUCAUAAACAAAUAAUAUUUUUAAAAAUAUUUUAAAAAGUAAAGACAAAAUCUAUAGCCAAACGGGAGGUAAGUAACUUUUGGCUAUGCUAGCAACAAAUUCCAGUUGUUGCAGAACAGUACUUGGUAGGUAGAAUUUUAAUUUGUGAAUUUGGUAUAUUUCUUUGGUUGUACAAAAAAAUUCAAUUCCCUCAAUGACUGGCUUUUAUUGUUCUGUUGCAAGGAAAAAACGAAGUCUUUAUCUAAAGAAAUGCGUCGAAAAAAAGCAGAUGUACAGAAUCUUUCGACGAAACAGUGUUUUCUCAACAAAGUGUCCUCUCAUUUUGUUGAGCAGCCAGUGAUGUUAACAUUUAAAAAAUAAUAAAUAUAUUAAUAUUUUCAGUUUGCUUAUUAUCUAUAUAUAUAUAUAUAUAUAUAUUGUGAGCACGUGAUAUUUGUCUUAUGUAAAAUACUCCUACAAAUUAAAGAAGUAAAUUUUCAAUUAUUUGCAAUUUUGUAGAAUUUUGUGUUAAUUGCUUGCAUUUUUGUGCACGUUUAAUUUUUAUUAAAAUUAUGGAAAAACGUCAAAAAUAUACCAUGCAUUGCAUUCAGGUUUUGUUUUUAUAUUUUUAGGAUUAAUUAGUUAAUAAUUUAUUUUAUUAAAAAAAUAAAAAUCACAAAAAUGGCUCAUUUUACAUUUUUAGAUUACUGAUUUUUCUUUUUUUAAUUUAGGAUCAAGUAAUUCUAUAAUUUUUGUAAUUAGAUAAUUAGUUUAGUUUACAAUUUAUAUUAAUUUAGGAUUUUUAAUAAUUAAAAAAAAGUAAAAGAAAAGAGAUAAAAAAGAAAAAAGGGAGUUUGAGAAUAAAGGGCUCCUGGGCCAAAAUUGCUGAAGCCCAAACCAUUUUCACCCCAAACCCGCCCCAAAUCCGAGCCCAAGAACCAAAUACCCGGUCCAGGUCUUCCUCCACCACUAAACGACCCCGUUUUACCCCUGUCUUAUCACAACCGUUGGAUUCUUUUGAUCCAAUGGUUCGGAACUAGGAAAUCACUUAGUAUAUAGCUGUCUGAAAGCCUCCCCCUCAUUCGAACCCCAACCCUAACCCUCAUCUCUCUCAAACGAACCCUAGAGACGUCGCCCCAAAAUCCCUACCGUCUCUGCCGUCAACCACCCGCCGGAAAUCGCCUACGGCGGCGGCGACACCCCAAACACCCCCAAAUUAACACCAUAUAACCUCUUUCCCCUUUCUGUUCCAGAUCUACAAGCCUUUUCUCCAAAAUCCCCACCCAAAUCAUCGAAUCUUAGAUCCAAAGUCAGGUUCUAAACCCUAAUCCCUUCAAAUCGGUCCAAAAUUUCAACAGGCUACCCCUGUACCCUCCUCUCCUUAAAUACCUCACUGAUUUUUCCAAAUAACCCCGCAAAACUCUGGAAUUACAAAUCUAAGAAAGGGGUUUUCUGUUUUUGUCGAGUCUGAGUUCCGUGCUUUUUCUUUUUCAAAGGUUUGACUUUCAGAAGUCUUUUCUUUCAAGGAGAUCCAGUCAAAGCCAUGCAAGACCGGAUCCCUUGAAGGAAAAGACCUCUGUUGGUCAACCGGGAUGAAACAGACCUAAAAAGAACUAUUGACUCUUCUUGGCAAGGUAUCAUUCACCUUUCCACCUUCUUUAUCUCUUCUUCAAGUUUUAGACUAUGUUCUUUUUUAUUUUUGUUUUCUUUCAUUUUUUGUUAAUUUGUUCAUUCUUCAUCUGUUUAAAAAAAAUCUUGCUUGUUUCAGUCUUUAGACUUGUUUAAUCAGUAGUUUUAGGGUUCAUUAGCUAAGCAUAUUUACCUAAAUUACUAAUUGAUCAGUUUGUUAUUUUAGGGUUUGUCGAUAUUGGUUUAGUUUGGAUAAUUUCGGAUCAGUAGGUUAGUUUCCUUGCAUUGAUCAUGUUGUACUGAUGUAAUAAUAUUGAUAGGAUGGUUUAGUCCUUAGAGAAUGGCUCAUUAUUCUGGAUUCAUGCUAGUAUUAGGUUCAAAUGUGUAUGUGUUGUGUCAUCUCUGAUUUCAGUUCAAUGAUAAAGGAAUUUAAGUUUAAUUAAAGGCUUAAUUGAAUUAGAAUUUGGCUCCAUUUGAUCUUCCUUGUUUUAAUUCAGAUUUUUAUUUUUGUUUGCCUUAGUCUGUAAAUCAUUAGAAUUUCUAGGGGUUUAAUUGCACAACUAGAAACUUAGGGUUUAAGUGGGGAAAUAAAACAAGGACUUUCAGAUAAUUUUCACAUUAGGAAGGCUCUAGAAUAGGGGCAGCUGGUCUCGUUUGGUUUGCACAAAAUGCAUAAGCCAAUGAGGGACAACCAGUUGUCCCAAUUCUGUUAGAAAAAUGCUUUUUCAAGCUGAAGGGAAUAUUUCCUAAUUGGUUAUUCAACACAUGGCUUUGGAGGCUUAUAAGUAGUACCCUUCUUUCAUACAAAAAUCAGAGACUAAGAUAGAUUUUUAUUCCCUGAAAAUUAUCAAAAGGUUCUCUACACUCUUAUUAUCAAAGUUGGCUCAAAUUGCCUCUAAUCUUUCUUUUAGAACUUUAAAGUCUUUUCAUGAGGAUUUCUAGUUUUCUCCAAGCUGAAAAUAGUUGAUCACAGAAGCUGCUUGGUUCUGUUUGUUGUUUACUGCUGCUGGUCCUUCUUUAUUGAUUCACUUUAGCUGAUUUUGAGAUUUUCUUUCCCUUUUGUUGUAUCCAGAUACUAUCACAACUGCAAAAAUAUGGCUAUAAUAUGCUGAUUGGAAAGUGAAACUCCAGAUCCGUUGUUGUUCAAUGACUUUUUCCUUGUUUUUCUUUUACUCGUAGUUUUCUGUUCAUUUUUGAAAUGUUUGGCUUAAAUUUGAUGUUCACCUCUAGGCAGUUAGUCAUGGCGUUUGAAUGUUGAAAGUUAGAGUUAAUUUUAGUUGUUGUUUUUUGCAUUUUGGCUAGGUAGCUUCAGUUAUACCUUAAUUGUAAUACGUGGGACUGUAUUAAAUUGUUGUCUGUGAGUUGCCAUAUGAGUUCAGGUGAUUGAACACCUUCAGCAUGCUCGCCAUUAAUUCUGUAAAUAUGAAUGCAUGUUUAUAGUUGGGAUUAGUCAUGAAUGAAUCCAUGUUAGUAAGCCAUAUGUGUUGAAAUCAUGUUUACGUUUGGUUAAAGUUAGGAAUAUUAUUAUCUUAUGACAGUGAUAAAGAAUGAAUUAUGUGCAGGCUGCUAUGAUUCUAAGUGUUGUAUCAUUAAUAUAGUAACAUGAUUUGGUCUCAGGAUAUGCUUUUUAAUCUAGUUAAAAUUUACAAGUGAUUUGGGUUGUAAUAGGGUAAGAGGACUGUUGAGUUUCGAAUAAUGCCUGAUAUGGGCUCAAAUCGAGACAGCCCAGUCACGUUUCAAGCUAGGGCACUUCAGCCUUAGCUUCAUUGUUUCGUUUUUUCUUUAUUUUUGGUUUAAAUGCAUUGUUUGAUCUUAGGAUGUUCAUGUAACGAAGUUCACUUCAAAUAAUAAAAAUAAGUCGUACAAUAGGGCUUUGUCUUUAAGAACUGGGCUUUGUAGUUGGCCCAGUUGAACCCCGAUGCCUGCUAUUGACUCAUCUUCAAUUCUGGGCCUCACCUCGAGCCCAGUUUCCCUCUUAGGACUUAUGGGAGUUUCUGGGCUUAUUGCAAGCCUGGAACCUACCCCAAAUAGUUAACUAUUUAAGUAUAUUACCCCAUGUAGGCUUGUUUUGAGUAGCUCUAGAUUGAAUUUUAAUUUAGAUGAAAAUCCAAACAUCUUUAGAUGGCUAUAGUUAAGUAUGAUUUCUUAAAAAAAUGGAUUGAGGUGUGACAUCCAUAAUUAGACCACUCAUGGCCCUCACAAAUAUUAUGACUUGGUUACUAAAAAUGAAUUUCAUAGUUUGCUUUAGGUGCGUUAAUUAAAUAUUUAUCAUGACUACGGGUACGGUUCCCGUGAUGUAGUUGUGAUUUGUAAUUGCUAAAAUUCGGGUGUACAUUUCAUGUGACCCGGCUCCAAUUCUCAAUAAGGUUAAAUAAAAUGUGUCAUGAAUCGCAGGUGCAUUUCAUGUAGCGUGGCUUACGAUGUGCUUUAAAUAACCUUGAAUUUUUCCUAAAAUAUUAAAAGCGGUUAGAAAGUUAAUAAUGCACGUAGAUUUAAAAUAUGUAAUUAAUUAGAUAAUUAGGCCAAUAUAAUAGUUGAGCGACCGUGCUAGAACCACGAAACUCGGAAAUGCCUAACACCUUCUUCCGGGUUAAUAGAAUUCCUUACCCGGAUUUUUGUAUUUCGCGGACCAUAAAUAGAGUCUUUUCCUUAAUUCGGAAUUUUAAACCGGUGACUUGGAACACCAUAUAAUUAUCCCAAGUGGCGACCCUGAACUUAAAAAAAAUAAUCCCAUUUCGAUUGUCACUUAAAUUGGAAAAAACUCCCUUAUAUCCCUUUCGGGGGUAGAAAAAGGAGGUGUGACAGCUCUGGUUAAGGCUGUGCAUGGAUUGGAUCGGAUCGGAUUUAGCAUAUUUCGGAUUCGAAUUUCGGAUUUCGGAUUCUGAAAAGGGAAAUCCGAAUCCGAUCUGAAUUAACAUUGGAUCGGAUCGGAUUUUAAACUUUGGAUCGGAUAAUUUUUCGGAUUGUCGAAUCGGAUUGUCACUUAUUGGAGUACUUGUUCGAAGUACAUAAACAAAUGUUGGGAAUUACUUUCCAAAUACAAAUUGAGCAAUCACUUUCCAAAUACUUGUUCGAACUUAACAUUGUUAACAAUGUUCAAUUUACACAACUAACUGAACUGAGUACUCAUAAAAAUUAAUAAUGCAACUGAGUUGAAUUUACACAACUGGGUAACAAUGUUCGAACUAUUUAACAAUGCAAACAAAACAUAAUUUAUAUCCAUUCAUCUCCAGUUCUCCACACAACUGUUACUGGACAGUAAACACCAUUCAUCUCCAAACAAAACCACAAUCUGAAAUUUACAUAAUGCAACAAUUGUCUUUCAAAGUUUCAAACCAAACCAAACUGAUGACCCCAAACAAAACACAAUCAAUUCUCUUUCAAACCAUAUUGUCAUAGCAAAAUAAAACAAACCAAACUACUAAAGUCCCAAUAGUUCUUUAACAUAUUACACAAAACAAAAGAGUUCCAAGUUCCAACUUUUGGGCAGCCACAAUAGUCAACACAAACCAGCAACCAGGCCAAAUGUAGCUCUCAAUCUCAGACUCUCAGUAGGACUGUGAGACAAGUUAAAAAUCUGCAAUUUCAAACAAUUCAAAGAGCAUUUUCAGAGAAAGAAAAAGACAGCUUAAAGCUUCAAGCUAUCUAGAAUUCCAAAUUCCAGAAACAUACAACAAAACAAGGAGCAAGUGUAUAAUAAAAUACCUGAGCUUGUACAACAAAUGGAAAAUCACUAUAUGUCGACAAUGCAAGGCUCUCUUCCCGUAUUCAUAAAUUCUGUAUAAUAAAAUAGUAACACAAGAAAUUAGUUUAGAAGUAAUCUAAAUAAACAUACAAAUAAAGUAUAUAUUAAACACAAGUAAUAAGAUAGGCUUACCAGCUUCAAGUUGUUCAAGAUUAUCUAAAUCUUCUUCAAUUUUAACCGAAGUUGUUGAUUCAUUAUGAAGCCAAUCUUGGACACACACAAGAGCUUGAACCAAUCUAGGAGUCAAUGAACUCCUAAAUGGAUUAAGUAUGCAUCCGCCGGUGCUAAAGGCUGAUUCUGAGGCAACACUAGAAAUCGGAAUGGCUAGCACAUCACGUGCCAUCUCAACAAGAGUGGGAAAUCUAGGUGAGUUCAACUUCCACCACCCCAGAAUGUUAAAUUUUUCAUGGUCUUCCUCAACAUCUUCACCCAAAUAUUUAUCUAACUCCGUUUUAGAAUCAACUCCGCCACAUUUCUUAUGCUUCUUUAAAUCUAGCAUGAAUUUUGAGAGCAAUGAUGAAGAAUAUGGACCAGAACAUGGAGAAGAUGGAGAAGACGGACAUGAACCAGAACCACCAUUUUUCAUUGCAUACACAUUAAACAAAGUAUCCAUGUAUGUUUUCACAUCCUCUUGUAUUUUCAAACCUACUGUUUCUCCAAACAUAGCACCAAGUGCAAAUGAAAGAGUAUUAAACUUAUGGUGUGGAUCAAGCACACAUGAGAUUAAAAUCAUUUUGUUCAUCUUAUGUGGAUCCCCCCAAUACUUGUCAAAUUUCUCUUUCAUAUUCUUUGCCAUUUCUCUCAAGAAAGCAUCUUCAUUUUGCAUCAAUUCUUUCAAAGAAGAAUCAACAACACAUAUUUCAAGAAAGUGCACAUUAGACGUAAUAUAAAGUGUACCUGAUACUUUCAAGGUGAGUUCAUAAAAAAUUUCGAGAAACUUCAAAAUACGUCUUACNNNNNNNNNNNNNNNNNNNNNNNNNUUGUCUUAUGUACCUAACAACUUGUUUUAUUCGUUCAACAUACACACUCACAUCUCUCAACCCAUCUUGAACAACUAGAUUGAUGAUGUGAGCCAUACAUCUCACAUGGACAUGCUUACCUUCCAUCAAGUUAGUGUUCCAUCUAGUAAAUUGUUUGGAUAACUCUCUAACCAUCACAUCAUUGGAACUCGCAUUAUCGACUGUCACAGUAAAUACUUUAUCCGCUCCCCAUUCAAGUAAACACUUACAAUACCACUAGCUAAAUCUUGACCUUUAUGACCAGUAAUUGGACAAAAAUUCAAUAUCCUUUUAUGCAAUUUCCAAUUAUUGUCAAUGUAAUGGGCUGUAACACACAUAUAAUUAAUUCUUUGAAUUGAAGUCCAUGUAUCAGUAGUAAUACAUAUUCUCUGUUUUGAUUCUUUAAGAAUAGACUUCAAAGCAAGUCUCUCUUCAUGGUACAUCUCAAGACAAUCCCUAGACAUAGUAGUACGAGAUGGAAUAUGGAAUAAAGGUUGAAGACUUCUCACAAAGUCUCUAAAUCCAUAUUUUUCUAACAUAAAUAAAGGGAAGUUCAUCUUUAAUAAUCAUACGAGCUAAAGCCCUCCUACAUGCCUCUUGAUCAAAUUUUCAAGGGAUAACUGAAACAUCACCUGUUAGACCUUGCAGUUGAAAAUCUAAUGUUGUCUGGCUACCUUCUGCCUUGUAGGGAUUGGUCGGACAUUUGGGAAUAUGCAAUAACAAAUUGCUUGUGCCGCUAUUCUUGGUAUCAACUACAUAUUCUUCUAAACAAAACUUGCAUCUCGCUUUUUUCACACCCUCGGCAUCAGUGAACUUGUUGAAGUAGCGCCAAGCUAUUGAUCUUUCUUUAACCAUUUUUCUUUUCUUCGAACCAGGUUCAGAUUCACUGUUGUUGGUUGUUGAAUCUGAAUUAGUUGAAGCAUUACUUUCACCAACUUUUUCAACAAUUUGAAGUUCAUUCACUGUCUCUGUCUCGUUUUUCAUCUACCAAAACAAACAAAAAAACCAAAAUAAAAUUAGAAAUAGAAGAAUAGAAAAUGAAAGAGAGAUAAAAAACAGAACAUAAAGACAAAAUCGAUACAUACAUACAAAAAUUGAAAAACAGUAUGAAAAUUCAAAAUAAAGAUGUUGUAAUAUCUCUUUAACACACACACACACACACAAAAGACACAAAAAACACACAUUAUUUGAUUUCUGCCGUGAAACAAAAGGUGGAAAACAUCACAUUUGAGCUCUAAGAGAGAGGGGGAAAAGCAAAAAUGAACCAAUAAUAACUAAUAGUUAGAGAGAAUGCCAGGAUUACCAUCUAUUAGGGUUUUGCGUCGUUUGCUCUUGAUUGGAAAUUGAAUGUGAAAACUUGAGAGUUGAGACUUCGAGAUUAGUUUUCUACUUCGAGUGAACUUGGAGUUCACUGGCUUGAGACUUCGAGAGGACUGAGAUAAAGAGUGAAGACGAAAGGCGGAAGCUUGGUCGGACUGAGAUGAAGAGUGAAGACUUUGAGUUCGAGAAGACUGAGUCACUGAGCUGUGAAGACUGAAGAGAGGCAGAAAAGAGGACUGAACAUCGAUAUAACCUAGGGUCUGUCUGAUAAAUGAAUAAGUAUACCUAACCCUAAAAUUUUAGGGUAGUAUUUAUAUAUAGGCCCAUAUAAUUUCGGAUUUCGGAUCGGAUCGGAUUAAAAUCAUGCCAAUCCGAAUCCAAUCCGAAAAUCCAAAAUUUUAUGAAACAUAAUCUGUAUCCAAUCUGAAAAUCCGAAAUCCGAAAAUCCGAAAUAGAGCAGGUCGGAUCGGAUUUCGGAUAUCCGAUCCAAAUGCACAGCCCUAGCUCUGGUGACUCUGCUGGUGACAAGAACCCAAAACUUCUGGUUCAGGGUUUAGAAUUCGAGCUUAGAAUAACUAUUAUGUUGGCUUUUAUUUAUUAUCUGAUUUUUAUAUGUUUGAGCCUAAUAUGCUAAUUGCCGUUUUUUACCGCUUUGAUAUUGUUUGGACUGUAUGUAAAUUGUUACGAAACCCUCUUCUCUCUAAGUCUUCUAAAUCAUCUGGGAAGGGUGUACUUCGUGUGACUUCUUUUUUGUUAGAUUCAUAUCCCAAUUUUAGAAUGAGGUUCUGACAAGUUGCAAAGCCGGUGAAGCUUCUGUAUUCCCGGUAUGUUCCCCCCCCCCCCCCGGCUCGAGCUCUCCACACGGGUAAGCCUGGUCUAGAACAAUAUACCCAGGUUUUAAACAUAGUCUUAUGCUAGAUCCUUAGUAGGAACGCUUGUUUGCAUCACGUGUAUUUGACUUUGGGGACUCAACACAGGGGUUGGGUCCGUCUAGGACAGGUGUACCCGAAAUCAAAAGACCAUCCUGAUACAUUUUUACUUGCUAGUUGCACAUUUAUUUGAUUUGGAUUACAUGUUGACCGGCUUCUAGAAUAGGGAAGAAAAAUUGAGAAAAACCAAAUUGAGGUAGGAGAGAGGAAAUUACUCGCCUGUAAAAAACUUGGUGUCCAAAAUAUCCCAAAACUCUACCGAAAUUUUUUGAAAAAAAAAGAAGAGCAAAAGCUAUUUCAAAGUGUUUGUGUUUUUCUGUUGCGUCAAAAUUGACCGAACUACGCGGGUUUAAUUCUCACCGGAAGUGGGAUACGUAGGCAACCCUCACCGAGUCCAACUCCUUUUGCAAAAAAACAAUAACCCAAAAAUAUGAAAUGUUGUUAUGCUGACAUAAAUAAAAUUAGGUGAUGUCCUUCUUGUCUAAAUAGCCAAAAUGUCCCCAAAAGGGCGUCAGAAGACUGUUUUUGUAAGAAUUGCCACAUGUGGUCCUUUUUAAAUUUUUUGGCCAAUUAGCGAACACAACCCUAAAAUCUUCUUUCCUGAGGUGCUGAAGGGUCGUAUUUGCAAAGUUGUUUUUGUUUCGAAUUGCAAUUUUGAAAAAAUUGAUAAUCUUCUUUUGAGUCAAAAUAAAUCAUGAUUUUUUUAAUCGAUCACUUUAAAUAAAUGUGCCGGAUGAGAACUAUUGAAAAUAAACCUUUUAAAGUUGUAGAGGAAAUCCCGCUAGAACUUCAUAUGUUGUGGAAUGACUUAGGAAAGGUCAUCAGAGGUGCUGCGAUAAAAACUUUGGGGGGUCUCACUGGUCUUUUGAAGGUUAAACCGAGAUUGGAUAUAAUUGAAGCUUUAAUACCUUUUUGGGACCCAACGCAUAAUGUAUUCCAUUUCUCUGACUUUGAGCUGACUCCUACACUUGAGAAAAUAGCGGGCUAUGCGGGCCUUAGUGGGAAUCUCAAGAGCCGAUACCCAGUGGCACCGAGAGCGGUGACUCCUCACAAGUUUCUCAACCUUCUGAGUAUCAGUCGGGAAGUCAAAAAUGGAAAUUUGGCUGAGGGAUUUUGCACAUUAUACUUCAUGUACCGUCGUUAUGGAGAUCCCCGCGGUUUUGAGGCUCCGGAUACUAGUCUAACUCAUUCAGGGAAUAAAUAAAAAUGGGAAGCACAUCGGGGACUGGCCUUUAUAGUGGCAUUCUUGGGUUCCUUAAUCUGCACAAGGAAGGAUGGACAUAUAGAGUUGGGGCUCGUAGGAAUGGCCGACUUCAUGAUUAAAAAGGCUAAUGGCACUAUUGUACCGAUGAUCCUAGAAGAGAUUUACCGAGCUCUAACUGUUUGCCGAGCGGGGGGAAACUUUUUGAGGGUUGCACAUGCUUUUACAACUUUGGAUGGAAGAACACCUUUUGCCAUCGUCCGGGGUAAUGAACUAUGGUAUGACCGAUCUUAAAUGCAUUGAAGAACAUGAAAACUGGGUAGAGGGUCAUGAGUUUCCAGAAGGUACGGAGGCAUGGUUCGCACAUUUGAGUUCUUUGACUGCAAGCAAAAUUGAGUGGACAUUCGGUUGGCUCCCGGUCAUUAAAGUCAUUUAUAUGUUGGCCGAAGUGUGUUUUCUUCUAUUAAUUGGUCUCCAACGUAUUCAGCCAUAUGCUCCACACAGGGUUCUGCGCCAGCUAGGCAAGUACCAAACUGUCACAGACUCAGGUACAUGAUUUGUCCAAAGGCGAGUUAGAUCCUAGUUAUACGGCCUGGUAUGGUAAAAGGUCUCAAGUCCAUCAGGAACCCAAACAACCUGCCAAAAGGCCCCAUGUCCAAUAGUUCACUGAUGCGGCGCAGGAGCAAUGAGGUUGGUUGGCAAAAGAGACAAGCUACAGGGCCACAAUAAGCAAAUUGGAGGGACAAAUCAGAGAUCUUAAAUUUGAUAGCAGUGUACAGGAUGCUGCUGAUGAAGGGGAGAAUAAAAAGUUGGCCCAAAAAAACAAAGCCCUUCGAGCCCAGAUCCAAAAAAUGAAGAUAGCUGCUGAGAAUCAGGAAAGGAACCGAACGGAUGAAAGACUCAUAAAGGGUCUUAAGAAGAAAGUAUGUGAGUGCGAGAAUGAUUUGGAAAAAUCUAAAGGUAGUCUGGCAAGAGCUCGGGCACAGUUGGCAAAGAACGCAGAGGGUCGAGCAGAGUUUGUUCGGCAGUUGAAAAGGAAAUAUGAUAGAGAAGUCGCGAACCUGAAGAAAAAGCUAACUACUCUCGAGGACAAAAUGGCCAAGAAGGCAAGAGACUUCAAAGCAGAAAGAGAACACUUAUAUGCCCUAAUGUCGCAGUUAGAAAAAGACCUGCAAUAACUUUAAGAGCAAAAUCAUACAACCGAACAAGUUUUGGGGUCCAGAUCACAGCAGAUCGGACGGUUGCUACAAAGGAAGGGUAUUAUCAGGGAGAGGGUUAGGAGGAUUGCGGACUACAUUGUGAUGAAGUGCAACGAAUGCAAGGACAUGACCAGGUCCAUGUUCUUCGCUUCAGUUAUGAUUUUUGUCCGACAGAUCAUGGAUGACCUAUUUCACCUCUAAGAAGAUAUGGCGCAUAGGCCCGCGGCGAGACCGACUGAUGUCCCGUGGCCCCCUAGAGCAACAGUUGAGGCACUCAUGUAUUUCUGAUUUUAUUGUUCGAGUCUGUAUUCUCAGUUUUUUUGGAGUUCAUUAGUCCACUUCGAGUUCGUAUUUUCAUUUUUCUUUUGGAGUCCGUUAGUCCACCUUUCGAGUCUGUUAGUUUUUAUGUUUAAUUCUGUAGGAGAAGUCGUUGUAAUCAGGAUGUUUUUGUUUUUAUUUUAUUUUAUGAAAAUUUGAAAACCCAAAAAAUGUAUUUUUCUUUUAUUUUGCAUUUAUCCCCUGAACUACGUAAUGAUUUGAUUCAUGCAGCAUCAUGAUACGUAGGAAAUCCCCAUAGGAUUCGAUCAUAACCAUAAAAUGAAAAGGAAAAAGAGGAGAGAAAAUAAAAGAAAACUGAGGGGAAAGAAAUGAUGGCAAAAUGAGAGAGAAAAGCGAGUGCAAAAUAAAAAGGGAAGUAACAAAAUCAAGUGGGAAAGUCCAAUAGUGAUUAAAGAGGGAUUGGAGUAAAAAGAAAAAAAAGAGAAAGCACAAAAUGAGAAGAGUUAGUUAAAAGCCGGGAUGAAGCAUGCAGCCGUUCAAAUACACGAUAGAAGCUUUAACUGUUUCGGUGCAUUGCAUCCCAAAUAUGCGGUUGCCUAUCUGUUAAAUCUUAAACACUAACAAAUUGUUGUUGUCAUUGAGAACAUGAAGGUGGUUAGUUUGUUUGACAUUCUAAAAAUCCAUCCGUACAACACCAGGUCUAAAAACAAGUUGAUCAUGGCUGGCCAAGAACUGGACGCAAGUAUUAUUGAUCCACCGAAAGAGAUGGAGGAGCCAAAGGUUGGUUUGAAAGAGGAGUUACAUAAGUUGAAAAACCAUAUGUCCGAAAUGUACCAUGCAUGGAUGAAAGGGCAUCCACUACCAUCAUACCCCGCCAACCCUGCUUUCAUCCUGCCACUAGCUCAAUCCCAAGAACCUCCCACUGUUGAUUCAUCUCCACAACAUGCACCAAGCUUCACCCCAUACUACCACUAUUAUGGCACCACUUCCUAAACCAUACAAGCUUCACCAGCCAAAGCAACCCCAUACCCCCCACCAGCUACCCCUGUUUUCGUACCACCUCCACCAGCUACACUCCAUCGAUCUUCUAGUGAGCCAUUAUUCCAGACUCAAGAUAAUAGGGCUGCUUAUCGAGUGGAUUAGGCGGUUAUUUUCUCUUAAUAGUUUGGUUUAUCGGUUAUCGGCUUUUAAAUAUAUUAAUCCGCUAGCCACCCGAUAAGAUAUCGGGAGGAUUGAUAUCGGUUUAGCUCUUAUCGGGCUGUUUAUCGUCCUAAUUCAAUCAAAAUAAAAUAAAAUUUACUCUUUGUAUGUUUAAAUAGGUGGUCGAUGUACUAAGAGGGACGAAGCAGAAGAGACACCGUGAUGGGUAAAUCAUCUGUCUAGAAUCUUAUUUAUGUUUAUGCACAUUGGCCUUAGUCCAUGUGAAAGAUUUCUUGGUGUACUAAUAUUAUGAUAAGAAGUGGGCAUACUGUAUAUUUUAACAGGUCAUCUGCUUGGACAGAAUUGCUAAGCCAAGAGUUCUGUUAGUUAGAACUUACAAAGAUAUUUGCCCAAGAUAAGAAAAAACAAAUGUAAUUUUAGGUGAAAGUGAAAAUUAGCAUCUCUAAUUUAUAGACGUAGAAGUCACAGAAAUAAUUUUGUGUCAAUUAGUACAAAAUCAUACAUUAAAAUCUUAAUCCUAUUGUAUAGAACAGAAAUAAAACAUAUAAAAAGUUACUACAUGACGACUAUAUAUAAAAUGAAUAUGAAGAGAUUUCUUUACGAAUCAAACAAUGUAGGAUCACAAAAAGUUUAUAAAAUUAUUACCUAAUAAUAAUUCAAAACAAUUGAAAAGAAAAUCGUGUGUCUUGAUAUUAUGUUAAAUAAGACAGAAGUUAUUAGUGCAUAUAAACCUUAAUACUCGAAAACGGUGAAGAGGAGAAAUAUGAGUUUGAAACAGUUAUCAAUUUGAACCGGGAACGAUUUCAAAUUCCUGGUGGAUUGACAAAAUUCAAGUAGGCAGAAGUUUAGUUGAAUUAAAACGUCGAAAAUAGUUGGUAAAGUUCAAUAUUACAAUUGUAUCCAACAUAAAUCAUCUCGUUGAAGGAAUUUAGGCUUGUAAGGGCAUAAAAACCGAUUAAUGUUUUGAGGAUAUUUUUAUCGAUCAACAUUUAGCGUGGAACAUUCGUACUUUUAUAAUAAUAUAGAUAGAUAUGGAUAAAAUAAAUUUUGUAUAUAUAUAUAUAUAUAUAUAUAUAUUUUAACGAGUUAAUGGAUUAUCCGUUAAGAAAAUUGAAUAAUCCGCCCCCCAAACCGAUAAGCCGCUAAUAAAAAAAAUUCAAUACGUUCUCCGUCCGUUAAACUGUUAACCCGAUACUAAUAAGCCAUUAAGCUUCGAUUUUGGUUCGGUUUUCGGUUUCGGUUCGGUUUUGAACACCCCUACAGUACUAUCCCCAGAGCCUACUUUCAAGGCCCCAGAUCAUUACUCAUACACUCCUCGUUUCGACCUCCUUGUUGAGAUUGAGAAACCACCUAAAAACCCGGAACAUGAGGAGAUGUUUAGGAAGGUGAGAAGCCUGGAACAAUCGCUGAGAAACAUGUAAGGGUUGGGAGGUCAAGUAAGUGUAGCCUACAAAGAUAUGUGUUUGUUCCCUGACAUACAACUACCUAUUGGGUUCAAAAUGCCCAAAUUUGACUUGUAUGACGGACACGGAGAUCUUGUGGCCCACUUAAGGGGAUUCUACAGUAAAAUGAGAGGAGCCGGUGGGAAAGAUGAGCUGUUAAUGGCAUACUUUAGCUAGAGACUGAGUGGUGCGGCAUUGGAGUGGUACACUCGUCAGGAUCACAACAGAUGGUAUACCUGGGGUGAUUUGGCCCAAGCAUUCGCUCGUCAUUUCAAAUACAACAUCGAGAUUGUUCCAGAUCAUUUCUCUUUGACUAAGAUUGAAAAGAAGCCUAGUGAAAAAUUCAGAGAAUAUGGUUUCCGCUGGAGAGAACAGGCAGUAAGGGUUAACCCUCCAAUGGAGGAGAACGAAAUGGUGGAAUAAUUUCUUCAGGCCUUGGAGCCUGCUUACUUUGGUCAUCUGAUCUCGGUCAUAGGUAAGUCUUUCAAUGAAGUAGUAAAAAUGGGAGGAAUUGUAGAGGAAGGGCUCAAAUCAAGCAAGAUCAUGAGCUACUCUGCCAUCAAAGAAACUACGUAGGCAAUCCAAAAUGGCACCGGAGGCAUGCUUGGGAAACGCUACAGUCGUUUCAGGAUUGUGGCACGGCCCGGGGGAUUCUCCUACCCACUACACCCAACCUCGACCCUAGUUUCAAACCUAUACCCCAAUUCCAUAUAAUCAAUCCCAAAACUACUUCCCUCUCCCCCUACCAGAGCCUCAGUACUCAGUCAUGCCACCCCAAUAUCAUGUCCAUCAUGCGCAGUGAUAUGCUCAACCCCCUCCUCACCCGCAAUGGCAUGUCCCAGCUCCACGAAACCCUUACCCACCUCCACAAAUAUAGGAAAUUUCGGGUAAAGCCAGAAUUUAGGAAUGAAAGGUGCAGCAGAAGAAAACUUUAACCCCACUUGGGGAAUCUUAUACCAACCUAUUUCAAAGGUUGAGGCAGUCGGAUGUUCUGAGGCCAAUUGAGUCGAAACUACCAAACCCCCCUCUAAAGAACCUGGAUUAUUAUCUCCGAUGUGCAUACUGUUCUGAUACUCUGGCGCACGACACAAAAAAAUGUUGGCAUUUGAAUAACGCCAUCCAAGAGCUCAUUGAUACAAACCAAAUUGUGGUCUAGAGCCCAGAAGCACCCAACAUCAACCAGAACCUAUUGUCAGCCCAUGCUGAAACGCACAUGAUUGAGAUAGUGCACAAAGAUGGGAAGCCCAAGAAGCCUUCACAAUCUGUCAUGAUGAUCUGGUCUAGUGAAAGCAGGUCAAUCAAGGACUCGAUUAUCACAAAAGCAACCUCUUUGAUAGCUGAAGGAUUGGCAGACAAGUUGAGCAUGCCAAAUGAUAAGCCAGUUGUGGUAAUUGAAAAGAGGUCUCCAAGUGAUGUUGUAGCAAAGUAAGAAAAGCCAAAGGUGAUCGUACCGGGAGUAGAAAGUAAGUCGGUCAUAAUUGUGGAGUAUGCUCGCACGGACCCUAUCAUUAUCAAACCAGUGACCCAGCUGCCGGUAGCUAACACCAGGAUUGUCCCCUGGAAUUAUGAGCGAGUGAUAGUGACCUAUAAGGGGAAGGAAGUGAAAGAAGAAGUCAAUGAGGCCUAGGGUUUAACUCGUUCGGGGAGAUGCUUUGCCACAGAAGAGUUAAGGAAAGCUAAAACACUUAGAGACAAUCCAGUUCUAGUGAAAAACCCGGUCACUGAAGAAGAGGCGAAGGAUUUUUUGAGAAAAAUGAAGGUACAAAAUUACUCCAUCAUGGAAUAAGUGAGAAAGACCCCUUCCCAGAUUUCCCUGCUAUCAUUGUUGAUCUAUUCAGAUGAGCACCGCCGGGCUCUAAUGAAGAUUCUGAACGAAGCUCAUGUCCCCAACAAAAUCACAGUGAACCAUUAGGAGAAGAUUGCCAAUAAGAUAUUUGAGUCUAACAGGAUCACAUUCUCGGAUGAUGAUUUGCCUCUGGAGGGUACGGAACACAAUCGAGCCCUCUAUCUCACAGUGAAAUGCGAAGAUUCUGUGGUCACAAGGGUGCUAAUUGACAAUGGUUCCAGUGCAAACAUCUGCCCUCUCUCUAUUCUGAACAAGUUAAAAGUUGAUGACGAGAGGAUUCACAAGAACAGCUUAUGCAUCCGAGGUUUUGAUGGAGGGGGAAAAGACUCUAUUGGCAACAUCAUGCUCAAGUUGACAAUAGGACCAGUCGAAUUCACCAUGGAGUUUCAGGUCCUAGAUGUGGCUGUUUUUUACAAUUUGCUGUUGGGUAGGCCUUGGAUACAUGUUACCAAGGCGGUUCCGUCUUCUCUGCAUCAGAUGGUGAAGUUCGAAUGGGAUAGAUAAGAAAUCGUUAUGCAUGGCGAUGCGAAUUUAUGUGCUUUCAAUGAUACAUCCAUCCUAUUUAUUGAAGAAGAUAAGGGGUCGUGGGUCUAUCAAGUUUCCAAAACGGUGUCAGUUGAAAAGUAUCCAGAAGGGGAAUAUAUCUCGGGUCCAAAGUUAGCUUCUGCAACCGUCAUGGUAGCAACCGAGAUGUUGAAAAAUGGUUUUGUGCCAGGCAAGGGUCUGGGUGCAUCUCUGUAAGGUAUCGCGCAGCCAAUGUCCUUGCGUGAAAAUCUAGGUACAUUUGGUCUGGGGUUCAAGCAUAUAGGGGAUGAUGUGAAUAAGGCUAGAAAGCUAAAAAAGAAGGCAUGGUCGCUCUCUAAGCCAGUCCCACGUCUCUCCAGGUCUUUCAUCAAGGCAGAGGUCUUGAAGCAUCCAGUAACAACAGUUCCUGAGCCUGUGGUUGAUUUUGAUGAAGAAUUGGUUAAAAGGUUCCAGAGUCUAUUUGAUGAAGUGAACAUGGUAGAAAUCGGGGAAGGUUCCAGCAAAGCGGAUGUGCAGUUUAUUGGGCCAAAAGUGAAGCUUAACAAUUGGGAUGCUACUUUUCUCCCUACCCGGAAGGAGUUUUGGUAGUUUGCUUUGUUUUCCUUUCAGUUAUUUGGAUUAUUCCAGGGUUGUAUUUCAGAUUUUUAUUUUCCGUUUGUUUUGAUGUACAAACCCUUCUAUCCUUUAUUUUCAAUGAAAUACAAUUUCCCUUUUCCAUUACUCCUGAUAGUGUCAUUUUCUUUUCUUUCUUUGUAUAGUUCUUCUUAUGCCGGUUUCAAUGACAUGACAUGCAUGAGGAAUCUUCAGCCAAGUCUUAAAAGCCAAUCUAACUCUGAAAUAAUAACCCAAGAAAUAGAGUAUGAAGAUGAAAUAGAAUAUGAUGAAGAGGAAGCAUUUGAGGAAAUUAGUAAAGUGCUAAGUCACUUUGAAGAGAAACCCAAGCCUAAUUUGAAUGAAACUAAAGCAAUCAAUUUAGGGGAUCCAGAUAAAAUCAGGAAAACUAAGAUAAGUGUACACUUGGAACCACAAAUCAAGGAGGAAAUAAUCAAAGUACUGUAUAAUCAAAGCACUGUUUGAAUAUAAAUAUUUUUUUGAAUGGUCAUAUGAUGACAUGCCGGGUCUAAGUACUGACUUGGUGGUUCACAAAUUGCCCACUGACCCGGCAUUCCCUCCCGUCAAGCAGAAGUUAAGGAAGUUCAAAACUGACAUGAGUGUGAAGAUCAAGGAAGAAAUCACAAAGCACUUGAACGCAAAGGUCAUUUGAGUCACGCGAUACCCCACUUGGUUAGCUAAUGUUGUGCCAGUGCCAAAGAAGGAAGGCAAGACCAGGGUGUGCGUUGAUUACCGUGAUCUCAACAAAGCAAGUCCAAAUGAUAAUUUUUCAUUACCAAGUAUCCACAUUUUGAUUGACAACUGUGUCAAGCAUGAGAUCAGUUCUUUUGUGGAUUGCUAUGCGGGGUACCACCAGAUCUUGAUGGAUGAGGAGGACGCAGAAAAGACAACAUUCAUCACACCAUGCAUAACUUAUUGCUACCGGAUAAUGUCAUUUGGUUUGAAAAAUGCUGGGGCAAUUUACAUAAGGGCGAUGACUAUUGUGUUCCAUGAUGAUAGACAAGGAGAUUGAGGUUUAUGUGGAUGAUGUGAUCGUAAAGUCAAAGCAACAAGCUGACCAUGUCGUAGAUUUGAGGAAGUUUUUCCAAAGGCUCCAUAGGUAUAAUCUUAAGCUUAACCCUGCCAAGUGUGCAUUUGGUGUUCCAUCUGAAAAACUGUUGGGAUUCAUAGUUAGUCGUCGAGGCAUUGAAUUGGACCUAUCAAAGAUCAAAGCUAUCCAAAAAUUUCCACCUCCAAGGAAAAAGACUGGGGUGAUGAGUCUGCUAGGGCGUUUAAACUACAUCAACAAGUUUGUUGCUCAACUCACAACAACUUGCGAGCCCGUCUUAAGUUGUUGAAGAAGGAAGUUGCGGUUAGAUGGACUGAUGAGUGCUAGGAGGCAUUUUAUAAGAUCAAGGGGUACUUGUCAAACCACCUGUGUUGGUCCCGCCGGAACUUGGGAGGCCUUUAAUUCUUUAUUUGAUAGUCCUAGACAAUUAGUUCGGUUGCGUAUCGGGUCAAUAUAACAUCACUAGCAGGAAGGAGCAAGCCAUCUAUUAUCUCAGCAAGAAGUUCACAUCCUAUGAGGUUAAGUAUACUUCCCUUGAAAGGACAUGUUGUGCCCUGACUUGGGUGGCACAAAAAUUGAAGCAUUACCUGUCAUCCUAUACUACUUACCUCAUUUCUCGCCUGGAUCCUCUAAAGUAUAUGUUUCAGAAGCCUAUGCCCAUAGGAAGACUUGCAAAGUGGCAGAUUUUGCUCAUAGAGUUUGACAUUAUCUAUGUGACUCGGACCGCGAUAAAAGCCCAAGCAUUGGCCGAGAAUCCGGUGGAUGAAGAGUAUGAACCGUUGAGAACAUAUUUUCCCGAUGAAGAGGUGAUGCAUAUUGACGAGGUGGAUCAGGUUAAAUAACCAGGUUGGAAACGUUUCUUUGAUGGAGCCGCUAACAUGAAAGGUGUUGGAAUAGGGGUCGUGCUUAUUUCUGAAACAAGGUAUAACUAUCUUGUUACGGGCCAACUUCGUUUAUAUUGUACCAACAAUAUGGCUGAGUACGAGGCAUGCAUUUUGGGAUUGAGGUUAGCUGUAGAUAUGGGAGUUCAGGAAGUCUUAGUAUUGGGAGACUCGGAUCUUUUGGUGCACCAGAUUCAAGGAGAAUGGGAGACUUGGGAUUUAAAGCUCAUACCGUAUCGACAAUGUUUGCAUGAUCUUUAUCAACGGUUUUGAUCAAUAGAAUUCAAGCAUAUUCCAAGGAUCCAUAAUGAGGUUGUCGAUGCUUUGGCUACCUUGGCGUCAAUGUUGCAUCAUCCGGACAAAGCUUAUGUUGACCCUCUGCAUAUUCAAGUUCGUGAUCAAUAUGCCUAUUGUAAUGUGGUUGAGGAAGAACUUGAUGGUGAACCGUGAUGCCAUGAUAUCAGGGAAUACAUCAGGAUGAGGGUAUAUCCGGUACAAGCCACAGGUGAUCAAAAGAGAACAAUUUGACGUUUGGUUAGUGGAUUUUUCCUGAGUGGGGAAAUCUUAUACAAUAGGACUCCAGAUCUUGGAUUGUUGAGAUGCAUAGAUGCCAAACAAGCCACGGGUAUCAUGACAGAAGUGCAUUUCGGGGUUUGCGGACCACAUAUGAGUGGGUAUGUUCUAGCAAAGAAAAUUCUUCGACCAGGCUAUUACUGGCUCACCAUGGAACGGGAUUGCAUCAGCUUUGUACGCAAGUGUCAUCAGUGCCAGGUACAUGGAUACUUGAUUCAUUCUCCGCCAUCUGAGUUGCAUACAAUGUCCGCAUCGUGGCCCUUUGUUGCUUGGGGCAUGGAUGUCAUUGGACCAAUUGAGCCGGUGUCAUCAAAUGGGCACAGGUUCAUUCUGGUGGCCAUCGAUUAUUUUACUAAGUGAGUUGAAUCUAAGACUUUCAAAUCUGUGACCAAGAAGGUAGUGGUCGAUUUUGUUCAUUCAAAUAUCAUUUGUCGGUUCGGAAUCCCAAAGGUGAUCAUCACAGAUAAUGGUGCUAAUCUUAACAGUCAUUUGAUGAAAGAAGUAUGUUAACGGUUUAAGAUUACGCAUCGAAAUUCCACCCCGUACCGCCCCAAGGCGAAUGGAGCAGUAGAGGCAGCCAACAAGAACAUAAAGAAGAUACUUCGGAAUAUGGUGCAAGGUUCCAGGCAAUGGCGUGAAAAGUUACCUUUUGCUUUGCACUACUGUUCGAACUUCAGUAGGUGCAAAUCCUUAUUCGUUGAUAUAUGGUACUAAAGCAGUGAUACCUGUGGAAGUUGAAAUUCUAUCCCGUCGGAUUGUUGCUAAAGCCGACAUUGAGGAUGACUGGGUCAAAACCCGUUUGGAGCAAUUAAGUUUGAUUGACAAGAAAAGACUAGCAGCAGUGUGUCAUGGCCAGUUAGAUCAAAAGAUCAUGGCAAGAGCAUACAACAAGAAGGUGCGUCCUAGGAAAUUUGAAGUACGUCAGCAGGUGUUGAAACACAUCCUUCCACAUCAACCUGAAGCUAAAGGCAAGUUUGCCCCAAAUUGGCAGGGGACGUUCAUCGUAACGAGAGUGUUGUUCAAUGGUGCUUUGUAUUUAAUAGAUAUAGAAGGCAAAUGUGUAGAUAUGGCUAUCAAUUCUGAUGCGGUCAAAAGAUAUUGUGUAUGAUUUCUUUGGUUUGUCUAAUUAUCGUUUGUACUUAGAGUGUUUUGAAGUUGGAAUGACGAAGGCAUUUUAUUCUGUUAUCUAAACACUUUAUACUUUGUUACCCCUUUGAGCCUUAUUUAUUUCCUUUCAUACUCCUCUUUUGGAAUCAGUAGCAAGUUCAGAAACACGAACACAAAAGGUAAAAAGGGGGGGAGAAGAAAAGAAAAGAAAAAAAGAGAGAGAAAGAAAAAGAAAAAAAGAAAAGUAACAAAAACAAAGCAAUUCCCAUGUCAUGAACUACGUUCUACCUUAUUCCUUUAAAGGAUACGUAGGCAGCCUCAAGGUUCGGUCCCAUCAAAAUAAAUUCAAAAGUCCUUAGGCAAGGAAGAUUGGGGCAGAAGUUGUGGUUUUAUAAAAGAUCUGAUUCCAAAAGUUGUAAUUUUGAACUCAUUCAAGUUGUUUUGAGCCUUUAUAAUAUCCUUUCUCUCCCUAUCCAAAAGUCACAUUAUGGUCCAAAGAAAGACCUUCCGAUCAAUCUUUGAGGAAUGCCAAGUCAGGCGAGCUAGAGGUAUGAGUCAUCAGGGGCAACACUCCUUUCUACACAAGGAAAAUGAAUAAAUGAGAGAGUCCUACUGGUGAAAACCCUUGCGGGCACCGUAGGUCGAUGGAAAGAUGAGAGAAAUUAAAAUGAGAGAGUCUUAUUGGUGAAAACCUUCACGGGCACCAUAAGGCGACAGUGAGUUGAGAGAUGAGCAAAUGAGAGAGGUUUGUUAGUGACUUUGCAGAGAGAUUGGGUCGUGGAAACCUCGGGGCAUAAAGUAUGAAAGCUGAAAGGUGAUCGGUUGAACGGGCUGAGAUGAUUAAUCCGAAAUGCAUGUCAUGAUUAUUGGUGCCAGCUGCCUCACUCAGAUAAGUCUCUUUCCUUUUCUCCCCCAAAUAGUCACCCUGUUUCAAGUCUUCUUCUAUAUUUCUAACUCGAAGUCAUUGCAUUUCAUUUCUUUUGGGUUUAUUUCUCUAAGGCUUUUCCAAUGUCACCCUUGUUUAAGCAAGUAAGAAAGGAUUUCAAAGCUUAUUACCAACUUCUAAAUUGCACAAAGCAAAGUACGGCCAAAGCAUACCAGAAAUAGCAUGAUGCAAAGUGAAAGAUAAGGUAUUAAUGAAAGUUCAAGUGGUCAAGGGGUAGGUGAAUUUUGUGGAAGAUACAGAGGUUCAAAUUGGAAGGAAAGAAAUGUAAAAUAGCGGUUUGAGUGCAGGUCACUCGGGUCAUUCAGGUUCCUGUUGGUUGAAAUUCAGUCAGAAAGUCAAACAAUUCUCGGCCAGUUCAAGGCAGCCAGUCAAAACAAAGCACGGCAGUGAAAGGGCCACCUUCAGCAAGAAUGCCUCAAACUAACCCCCACAUUUUCAAAUUGAUAAAAUUUUCUUUGAUUGAAACAGGGGCAGGAAAUUUUGUUUGUCCCGGAGGAACCCUCUAUGGGGAAAGCAUGUACCGGACAGGUUCAACCAUAAAUCUUUAGGACCCUCCUAGAUAAUGGGAUUUAGUUUAAAAUUUUCAGGGCCCUCCUGGAUAAUGGGAUUUAAUUUUAAAAAGUUCUCAGGACCCUCCUAGAUAAUGGAACUUAGUUGAAUUCCAAGACCUUCAUAGAUAACAAGAUUUAGCACAAGCUCUACCUUUAGAAAAUAUAAGUUGACUUUAAAGCUUCCACUCUUAAGAUGAGAUUCAAUUUGAAGUUUUCAGGACCCUUCUGAUUAAUGGAAUUUUAGUUUUUAAAUUCUUAGAGAUUUUGGGUAACAUGAUUCGGUUAACACUCACAGAUGUGCCCAGAUACCAAACUGGGGCAGAAAGUUUCUUUGUUUGUCUGUUUUGUUGUAAUCAGGUGCCCACCUGGAGAACAAGGGAAUACAUCUCAAGUUUCGGCAAUCAGGUGCCCACCUGGAGAACAAAGGAAUACAUUUCAAGUUUUGGCAAUCAGGCGCCCACUUGGAGAACAAGGGAAUACAUUUCAAGUUUUGGCAAUCAGGCGCCCACCUAGAGAACAAGGGAAUACAAUUUAAGUUUUCGGCAAUCAGGUGCCUACCUGGAGAACAAGGGAAUGCAAUUCAAGUUUUGGUAAUCAGGCACCCACCUGGAGAACAAGGGAAUACGAUUNNNNNNNNNNNNNNNNNNNNNNNNNNNNNNNNNNNNNNNNNNNNNNNNNNNNNNNNNNNNNNNNNNNNNNNNNNNNNNNNNNNNNNNNNNNNNNNNNNNNNNNNNNNNNNNNNNNNNNNNNNNNNNNNNNNNNNNNNNNNNNNNNNNNNNNNNNNNNNNNNNNNNNNNNNNNNNNNNNNNNNNNNNNNNNNNNNNNNNNNNNNNNNNNNNNNNNNNNNNNNNNNNNNNNNNNNNNNNNNNNNNNNNNNNNNNNNNNNNNNNNNNNNNNNNNNNNNNNNNNNNNNNNNNNNNNNNNNNNNNNNNNNNNNNNNNNNNNNNNNNNNNNNNNNNNNNNNNNNNNNNNNNNNNNNNNNNNNNNNNNNNNNNNNNNNNNNNNNNNNNNNNNNNNNNNNNNNNNNNNNNNNNNNNNNNNNNNNNNNNNNNNNNNNNNNNNNNNNNNNNNNNNNNNNNNNNNNNNNNNNNNNNNNNNNNNNNNNNNNNNNNNNNNNNNNNNNNNNNNNNNNNNNNNNNNNNNNNNNNNNNNNNNNNNNNNNNNNNNNNNNNNNNNNNNNNNNNNNNNNNNNNNNNNNNNNNNNNNNNNNNNNNNNNNNNNNNNNNNNNNNNNNNNUACAGUUUAAGUUUUUGGCAAGCAGGCGCCCACCUGGAGAACAGGGAAUGCAAUUCAAGUUUUGGUAAUCAGGCGCCCACCUGGAGAACAAGGGAAUACGAUUCAAGUUUUGGCCAUCAGGCGCCCACCUGGAGAACAAGGGAACGCAUUUCAAAUUUCGGCAAUUAGGCACCCACCUGGAAAUAAGGGAACCCGUUUCAAAAUUCAACUCACGUUAGCAACAACAGAAAUUCGCCUCGAAAAUACAGGUUAACAGUUCAAGAUGCACAACAGAACGGUAGAAGUAGCAAGACCAAGUUUGAAGAUGGUAGAUAGGAUUUUUGUAAUUCAUAGAUCAUAGUUUAGCCUAACUUCUUUUUAUUUCGUCUCGGUGUAAUAAGGAGUUCAGUAAGCAGUAGCAGCAGCAACAACAGUGAAAUUACAGCUUCCCGGUAGUCCCAGCUACUGAAACUUCCCGAACUACACUGACCUGAUUUAUUUAUAGCCAAGAAUAUGUAGGCAACUUCUGAAGCAAGGUGCGGUCAGAUCUUUCAAAAAUGCUUCCUACGGAGUAUUCAAACAGAAAAAAAUCGCUUGUAUCCGCUCACUUUAUCUUUGCCCGAAAACUCUUCGUGUUUCCAAGCAAAGAGGGGCAGUUGUGAGCACAUGAUUUUUGCCCUAUGUGAAAUACUCCUACAAAUUAAAGAAGUAAAUUUUCCAAUUAUUUGCAAUUUUGUAGGAUUUUGUGUUAAUUGCUUGCAUUUUUGUGCACGUUUAAUUUUUAUUAAAAUCAUGAAAAAAAACGUCAAAAUAUACCAUGCAUUGCAUUCAGGUUUUAUUUUUACAUUUUUAGGAUUAAUUAGUUAAUUAUUUAUUUUAUUAAAAAAAUAAAAAUCACAAAAAUGGCUCAUUUUACAUUUUUAGAUUAUUGAUAUUUCUCUUUUAAUUUAGGAUCAUGUAAUUCUAUAAUUUUUGUAAUUAGAUAAUUAGUUUAGUUUUACAAUUUAGAUUAAUUUAGGAAUUUUAAUAAUAAUAAAUAAAAAAAAGGGAUAAAAAAGAAAAAGGGAAUUUGAGAACAAAGGGCUGUUGGGCCAAAAUUGCUGAAGCCCAAACCAUUUUCGCCCCAAACCCACCACAAAAUCCGAGCCCAAGAACCAAAUACCUGGUCCAGGUCUUCCCCCAACACUAAACAACCUCGUUUUACCCCUAUCUCAUCACAACUGUUGGAUUAUUUUGAUCCAACGGCUCGGAACUAGGCAAUCACUUAGUAUAUAGCUGUUUGAAAGCCUCCCCCUCCCCAUAUUCGAACCCCAACCCUAACCCUCGUCUCUCUCAAACGAACCCUAGAGACGCCGCCCCAAAAUCCCUAUCGUCUCCGCCGUCAACCACCCGCCGAAAAUCGCCCACGGCGGCGGCGUCACCCCAAACACCCCCAGAUUAACACCAUAUAACCUCCUCCCCCUCCCCGUUCCAAAUCUACAAGCCUUUUCUCCAAAAUCCCCACCCAAAUCAUCGAAUCUUAGAUCCAAAGUCAGGUUCUAAACCCUAAUCCCUUCAAAUCGGUCCAAAAUCUCACCAGGCCACCCAUGUACCCUUCUCUGCUUAAAUACCUCACCGAUUUUCCCAAAUAACCUCGCAAAACUCCGAAAUUGCAAAUCUAAGAAAGGGGUUUUCUGUUUUGGUCGAGUCUGAGUUCCGUGCUUUUUCUUUUUCAAAGGUAAGACUUCCAAAAGUCUCUUCUUUCAAGGAGAACCGGUCAAAGCCAUUAAAGACCGGAUCCCUUAAAGGAAAAGACCUAUGUUGGUCAAUCGGGAUGAAACGGACCUAAAAAGAACUGUUGACUCGCUUCUUGGCAAGGUAUCAUUCACCUUUUUGUCUUCUUAUCUCUUCUUCAAGUUUUAGUCUAUGUUAUUUUUGAUUUAUGUUUUCUUUCAUUUUUUGUUAAUCUGUCCAUUCUUUAUCUGUUUAACAAAAAUCUUUCUUGUUUCAGUCUUUAGACUUGUUUAAUCAGUAGUUUUAGGGUUCAUUAGCUAAGCAUUUUUACUGAAUUACUAAUUGAUCAGUUUGUUAUUUUAGGGUUUGUCGAUAUUGGUUUAGUUUGGUUAAUUUCGAAUCAGUAGGUUAGUUUCCUUGCAUUGAUCAUGCUGCACUGAUGUAAUAAUGUUGAUAAGAUGGUUUAGUCCUUAAAGAAUGGUUCAUUAUUCUGGAUUCAUGCUAGUAUUAGGUUCAAAUGUGUAUGUGUUGUGUCAUCUCUGAUUUCAAUUCAAUGAUAAAGGAAUUUAGGUUUAAUUAAAAGCUCAAUUGAAUUAGAAUUUGGCUCUAUUUGAUCUUCCUUGUUUCAAUUCAGAUUUUUAUUUUUAUUUGCCUUAGUCUGUAAAUUAUUAGAAUUUCUAGGGGUUUAAUUGCACAAUUGGAAACUUAGGGUUUAAGCGGGGAAAUAAAACAAGUACUUUCAGAUAAUUUUUACAUUAGGAAGACUCUAGAAUAGGGGCCGCUGGUCUCAUUUGGUUUUCAUAAAAUGCAUAAGCCAAUGUGGGACAACCAGCUGUCCCAAUUCUGUUAGAAAGAUGCCUUUUCAGGCUGAAGGGAAUAUUUCCUAAUUAGUUAUACAGCACAUGGCCUUGGAGGCUUAUAAGUAAUACCCUUCUUUCAUACAAAAAUCAGAGACGAAGAUAGAUUUUCAUUCCCUGAAAAAUACCAAAAGGUUCUCUGCACUCUUAUUAUCAAAGUUGGCUCAAAUUGCCCUCUGAUCUUUCUUUUAGAACUUUAAAGUCUUUUCAUGAGGAUUUCUGAUUUUCUCCAAGCUGAAAAUAGUUGAUCACAGAAGUUGCUUGGUUUUGUUUGCUGUUUACUACUGCUGGUCCUUCUUUAUUGAUUCAUUUUAGUUGAUUCCGAGAUUUUAUUUCCCUUUUGUUGUAUCCAGGUACUAUCACAACUGCAAAAAUAUGGCUAUAAUAUGCUGAUUGGAAAGUGAAACUCCAGAUUCGUUGUUGUUCAAUGGCUUUUUCCUUGUUUUUCUUUUACUCGUAGUUUUCUGUUCAUUUUUGAAAUGUUUGGCUUAAAAUUGAUGUUCACCUCUAGGCAGUUAGUCAUGGCGUUUGAAUGUUGAAAGUUAGAGCUAAUUUUAGUUUUUUUUUUUGCAUUAUGGCUAGGUAGCUUCAUCUAUACCUUAAUUGUAAUAAGUGGGACUGUAUUAAAUUGCUGUUUGUGAGUUGCCAUAUGAGUUCAGGUGACUGAACACCGUCAACAUGCUCGCCACUAAUUCUGUAAAUAUGAAUGCAUGUUUAGAGUUGGGAUUUGACAUGAAUAAAUCCAUGUUAGUAAGCCAUAUAUGUUGAAAUCAUGUUUACGUUUGGUUAAAGUUAGGAUUAUUAUUAUCUUAUGAUAGUGAUAAAGAAUGAAUUAUGUGCAGGCUGCUAUGAUUCUAAGUGUUGUAUAAUUAAUAUAGUAACAUGAUUUGGUCUCAGGAUAUGUCUUUUAAUCUAGUUAAACUUUACAAAUGAUUUGGAUUGUAAUAGGGUACGAGGACUGUUGAGUUUCGAAUGAGGCCUAAUAUGGGCCCAAAUCGAGACAUCCCAGUCACGUUUCAAGCUAGGGCACUUCAGCCUUAGCUUGGUUGUUCGUUUUUUCUUUAUUUCUUUUGGUUUAAAUGCAUUGUUUGAUCUCAGGAUGUUCAUGUAACGAAGUUCGCUUCAAAUAAUUAAAACAAGUCGUACAACAAGGCUUUGUCUUUAAGAACUGGGAUUUGUAGUUGGCCCAGUUGAACCCGAUGCCUCCUACUGAUUCAUCUUCAAUUCUGGGCUUCACCUCGAGCCCAUUUUCCCUCUUAGGACUUAUGGGCGUUUCUGGGCUUAUUGCAAGCCUGGAACCUACCCCAAACAGUUAACUAUUUUAAGUAUAUUAUCCCAUGUAGGCUUAUUUUGAGUAGCUCUAGAUUGAAUUUUAAUUUAGAUGAAAUUCCAAACAUCUUUAGAUGGUUUUAGUUAAGUAUGAUUUCUUUUAAAAAAAUGGAUUGAGGUGUCCCAUCCAUAAUUAGACCACUCAUGGCCCUCACAAAUAUUAUAACUUGGUUACUAAAAAUGAAUUUCGUAGUUUAUUUUAGGCGCGUUAAUUAAACAUUUAUCAUGACUACGGGUAUGGUUCCCGUGACGUAGUUGUGAUUUGUAAUUGCUAAAAUCCGGGUGUACAUUUCAUGUGACCCGGCUCCAAUUCCCAACAAGGUUAAAUAAACGUGUCGUGAACCGUGGGUGCAUUUCAUAUAGCGUGACUUACGAUGUGUUUUAAAUAACCUUGAAGUUUUCCUAAAAUAUUAAAAGCGGUUAGAAAGUUAAAAAUGCACGUAGGUUUAAAAUGUGUAAUUAAUCAGAUAAUUAGGCCAAUAUAAUAGUUGAGCGACCGUGCUACAACCAUGAAAUUCGGAAAUGCCUAAUACCUUCUCCCGGGUUAACAAAAUUCCUUACCCGAAUUUUUGUGUUUCGCGGACCAUAAAUAGAGUAUUUUCCUCGAUUCAGGAUUUUAAACCGGUGACUUGGGACACCAUAUAAUUAUCCCAAGUGGCGACUCUGAACUUAAAAAAAUAAUCUCAUUUCGAUUGUCACUUAAAUUGAAAAAAAUUCCCUUAUACCCCUUCCGGAGUAGAAAAAGGAGGUGUGACACAUAUCUAAUAAAAAAAUUCAACGAAAUGAUUUUCCAUUUCCACCACUUGAGUCUAAGGUAUGUCCGCCCCAUCAACUAAGCUUGAGAUAUGAACAGAUGAGCAAAAUAAUAUAAUUUAAGAAAAUUAACAAAAUAUUUUUUCUAACCACAUAAUCACUCAACUUUCAAUUAACAAAAUAUUUUUUCUAACCACAUAAUCACUCAACUUUCACUACAUAUUCUAGAAUAUAAUUCAGGCUAAGAACCGUAAAGGCUUGGCCGAAAACCAUACUAUUUCAUGAAAAAAUAAUUUUAAAAGUAAAAUAUCCGACCUCUUUUUGUCACAAACCCCAAUUUUUUCAAGAUGCCGUGAUGGCACCUAGUCUUAGGGACUAGGUAAGCUUAACAUUUAUUGAAGAAAUAACCAUAUUUAACUAACGACUGACCGAUACGAAAUAGAAAUCUUCAUACAAAACUUACAAUCCUAAAACCAGUAGUACAAGUCAUAAGCUUUACUGAGUUUGCUAGAAAAAUCUCUAAAUAUAAUUGUUUCUAAAGAGAGAUAAAACAGUGCAAGUACAAUAUCAGAAGGUCACUCUGAAGCCUGCGAAUGCAACAACAGGUUUAUAUUAAGUCUCCACAGCAAGAUCCGAACAACUAGCUAGCGGUCGAGUGACUCCGAAAUACUUAGAUCUGCACAAAAAUAUGCAAAAGUAUAGUAUGAGUACACCACAGCAGUACCCGAUAAGUAUCAAGACUAACCUCAGUGGAGUUGUGAUGAGGAAAAGUCAAGACACCUACUGGACUAAAUAACCUAGACAAGUAUAGUGUAGAACUAACAGAGUACGAUAUCUUUACAAAGCUACACAUAAUGAAAACAACAAUACGGUACUUGCAGUAGGAAAUAGAAGCAACAAUUAGCAGCAUGACACAACAAGUAAUAACACAGUAGAGUAAGCUGAAUACAAUUUAAAUCCGGCAAAAACAAAUAAAGGAAAGACAAACAACAACUCGAUAAGAAUAACCGCCUUCUCACCAUGUUGAUCGAAUAAUCUCCACAAGGUACCAAACCUCAAAAUAUUCACAAUUCACGGGUCCCAAUUCGUGAACCUUAAUCACUUGGCAUCUCAUGCCUUCAUUAAAACUGGUAAAUGCAUGGACGACUCGCAUGCCAAUAAACAAUUCUCACAUAGAAGGCAAGUAGACGAGGGUAUGUAUGAAUGAUCAAUAACAUCAGAAUACAUCUUAUUAGACCAAUAGGGGUGGUUAAUUACGUAUAUGCUUGUGCAAGUGUUCUAUCACAGUUCAGGCCAAUGAGUAAGAGUAGAGGAAAUGAAUGGCAUAUAAGAAAUAAUUCCCACGAUUUUGCACAAGGUAAAACUCACACAAGUUAGGCACGCCACUACACAAAUAUCAACAACAACAAUGCCCCCAGGCUAUCACAAAUCAUUAUCCGACAUAGCCCACCUUAUCUCGUCAUGUGCGCAAUACUCCCUCUAUUCCAAUUUAUGUGAACAUGUUUGACUGAGCACGGAGUUAUAAGAAAAAAUGAAGACUUUUGGAAUUUCUGGUCCUAAAUAAGUUAAAAAGGGGCCCAGAGUAUUUGUGGGGUCAUAAAUGCUUCUCAUUAAGGGUAGAAUUGUAAGUUUAAGCUAAAUUAUUUUCAAAUUUAGAAAGGGGUCAUUCUUUUUGGAACGGACCAAAAAGGAAAUAGGUUCACAUAACUGGAACGAAGGGAGUAAUAAAGUAUAUGUCUGCCUUGUCUCGCUGCACACACAUAGAAAUGUUCCCUUCUUGUCUCGCCACAUGCACAAACACACAGAUAUAGCCCAUCUUGUCACGUCGCAUGUGCAACAUCAAUAAUAACAAUAGCACGACAGAAACCUCGUGCAAACACCCAAACAAAUUCUACCAACAAUAUCACGUGUCAAAAACACAACAACACAAUAUUUCCUCUAAAUAGUGUCACUACCACCACCGCACAUAGCCCUCGGCUCAACAAACUGAGGACAACAACAAAAAUAAUAAUAACAUAAGAAUACGACAAAUAAAUCAACUCAAGAGUUUUGAAACACAAAGAAACGAUAGAACGAGCUCACAAAGAAUAAAUACAAUAGAGAAUACUAGUCUCAAUAAGAAUAGCUCAACAAAGGAGAAAUAAUAUGUAACAAAUGAUUCCACAAAAGUACAAUUCGACAACAAGGGAGAUAACAUGAGUCAAUAAUUCCAUAUAAGGAUAAGUCAACUAUGAUAACGAAUAAUUAAACUUCAUUUAGAGUUGAGAAAUUACGAAAGAGAUACAACAAAUUCAAUUAAGGAUAACCAACUUACAGAAAGGACAAUAAUAACCUCAAUUAAGGAUAGACAAUUACAGAAGCAAUAAUAAUAAUUUCAAUUACGGAUAAGCAAUUAGGAAAGGAUAGCAUGGCAAUCAAAAAGGCAACACUUCAGUUGAGGCACACAAGAGUCAAAUAGGCAAUAAGAGUGGAACAUGAAACAAUUAAUUCCAAUUAAGACACGUAGAGGUGAAACUAGUAAAUGAGGAACUUAACAUAACCAAACAACUUCAUAUAUGAUGAACAUAAGAACCUAAAAGCCCUAAUUAGUCAAUUUUCCACAAAUAAGCCCGAGCACGCACUCGCCACCUCGCGUACACAGACUUCACAUAACACAAUUAGCAUCCAAAACUCAUAUCCUAAGGGUAGUUUUCCCCAACAGCCUCCGGAUGGUUCAAAUCUAGUCAAAAUAACUUCAAUCCAUAAAUAAAACUCAUAGAAAAGUAUUUCGGAUAAUAAAGUUUCGAUCUUUAAAAAAAACUAAAGAGUCAACCCCCAGGACCGCACCUCGAAACCCGAUAAAAUUUACAAAACCCGAGCACUCAUUCCGAUACGAGUUCAACCAUACCAAAAUUAUUAAAUUCCGAUACCAAUUCGUCCCUCAAAUUAUCACUUUACAUUUUGAAAGAUUUCUUCAAAAAUUUCCCUUUUGUUCACUUUGAUUCUCACCAUUUUGAUGUUAAAAUUAAAAUAAAAUCAUGAAAUAUACAUAGAAAUUGAACAUGGGCACUUACCCAACGAUUAUGAAAUUCCUCUCUCAAAAUUGCCCACUAUCGAACCUAUGGUUCAAAAAUAUCACAAAAUGAAGCAAAAACCUAAAUUACACAACUGAAAACAAGCUGCAGAUGUCGCAUUUGCGAUUGCGAACUCUCGCAAAAGCGAAGAAGCCUUCGCAAUUGCGAACAAGAACAUGACUGGAAAAUAUCGCAAUUGCGACAAAUUGUUCACAAUCGCGAACUGGACAUCGCAAUUGUGAUAAAAAUAUUCGCAAUUGCAGCUACACCAGAAACUAACAAUUUCCCUGACACGGAAAUGAGUAUAACUCUUUCAUACGAUGUCCAAAUUUGACGAUUCUUUUUGCUAUGGCUUCGUAAUUACGAUACAGAUCUAAUGCUUAAAUAAAAACUAAAUUUAUAGCUCAUUUUAUUAAUGUAUAACCAUUUAUACUUGAAAAAACGACGCUGGAGCAUAAAAACAAGCGCAACACACCCUAAACCUAUCCGAAACCCACCCAAGCCACUCGGGACCUCAUCCGAACAUAUCAACAAGUCCCGUAAAAAAAAUCGGACCUACUCAAGGCCUCAAAUCACAUCAAAUAAUGUCGAAAUUAUGAAUCAUACCUCAAUCGACCUUAAUGAACUUAUGAACUUUCAACUUCUACAACUUGCGCCGAAUCAUAUCAAAUCAACCCGGAAUGACGUAAAAUUUUAUAUGCAAGUUCCAAAUGACAUAACGGAGCUAAUCCAACUCUAGAAAUUGCAUUUCGACGCCGAUAUCACCAAAGUCAACUCUCGCUCAAACCUCUCAACCUUCCAAACCUUUAUUUUUUCAAUUUUUGCCGAAAUGCUUCAAUUUGCCCUACGGACCUCCAAUUCCAAAUUCGGACGCAUGUCUGAGUCCAAAAUCACCAUAUGAAGCUGUUGGAAUCAUCAAAAUGCUAUUUCAGAUUUGUCUACCCAAAAGUCAAAACUCCGGUCAACUCUUACUGCGUAAGCUUCUAAAACAAGAAUCCUUCUUCCAAAUUGACCCCGAAUCAUUCGAAAACCGAACUCGACCACACAUGCAAUUCAUGACACAUAAUACGGAGCUACUCGAGACCUUAUACCGCUAGACAUGACGCUAAUUCUCAAAAUUAUUGUCCGAGUCGUUACAUCCUCCCCCUCUUAAACAAACGUUUGUUCUCGAACGUGCCAAGAAUCGUCCAGAAGUCAUCAAUUUUUUGAACGUAUUCAUCCUAUAUACACCCAUGGGUGAUCUUCAUCACCCCCAUCUAUAUAGGCCUGACGACACCAGCUUAACUGUAAUUUAUCCUUUUCCCCCAAUACCAAUAAGCCUUAGAACUAAAACUUUCUCCAUCUGUUUUCUACACCCGGUAUCAGCCUCAACCAAAUGCAACAACUUAAGCCUAUACCUACAAGGUACAACCACACAACAUGACACAUCACACAUAUGCCUAUUACAAUAUCUCUGAUCACAAUAGUUGUCCGUAAUCAAAACCUGCACCGACAAUUAGCCUCAUAUAUGUUAGAACUCUAUUUCAACCCUCCACAAAACUGAUAAUAAUGCAAGAAACACGAAGACCUUAUAACUAUUCACCUGAAUCACCAAGGAACCUCUAACGCCACCGGGCACACACCACGCAAGCUAAAACUCAAUAAGCACAAUACGAAAAUGACUGAAUAUGUAAGGAGAACACAUAAGAGAAAUAUCAAAUAAGUCCGACAGGCACAACUCACUAUCAAUACCAUUCUACGAAUCACUCUGCAAUGAAGAAUAAAAACAUAUGAACAAAUGACAAGGAUCUCAUCCUGAUAUUACUUCCACCACGACACGCAACCCGGUUCAAACAAAUCAAUCACAUGAAUCUGCGAGGGUUUCACCCUUAACUCUGAAUGACAAGUAGAAUACACAUCAUACCAACCGAAACCUUCCACUAAGUCAAAUACUCCAAUAAAAACCACAACACUUACUAAACUCUCACCCCGGUAGUGCAUAUAAAUCACAAAUCGUAACCAAAUUACAUAGAAAUCACAUCAAAACCUACCGUAAUGGCCAACAGGAAUUCACUUCUAGUCUUGUAACUCUCAACAGCAAAUAAAAUAAAAUGAUAGACACGGCUACCACAAGAAAAUCUCCCAACAUGGGUAAACACAUAAGCAAAGUACUAAGUCAUGAAGCUCACCCACAUGUGAAGCAAAAUAGGAGGACUCACCCCGAUAAACAGAACCGAAACAAAAUACAAAUGAUGCUCCUCUCUAAUAAAUCAAAAACAUACAUGUAUGAUAUCAUAUGGCAUAGCGGCCUUAUACCUACUGUAUGAAACACAUCAAUGGGUCAGGCUUCCCUCUCUUGGACACCCUCUACUGGCUUGAAUACCCCAUUGUGAUACAUCUGUCCAGAGUCUGGGACAAUCUCUCACCAUGUGGCUGGUAUCUCCACACUCGAAGCAACCUCUCUGCUGACGUGGUUGUGGAAACUGUGCGGUACAGGUACUAUGAAACCCAUGAGCACCUAAAACACUGUGUGAAGCCUAAGGUGCAAACUGAACUGGCUGACCCACAAAACCUCUACCAUGUCGUACCCUGCCUUCAAAAUAAGGACUAACAGAUUUCUCCGGUCUACGAGGCCUCUUAGCCUUCCUGUCCUCUCUCUCUUGACCUCGUAUAUCCUCUCUCUCCUGGCCUCGCCUGUCCUAUCUCUCCUGGUCCCGCAUGCCCUUUAAUCGGCGAGUGAUCUCUACCACCUAUUGAAAUGGAACAUCUGACUCCAACUCCCAAGCUAUGAUAAACAGGAUAUCAUGUCUGAGCCCCUCAAUGAACCGGCAGACUCUCUCUCUAACUGUAGCGACCAAAGGAGGUGCAUGUCUAGCCGAAUCACCGAAUCUAAUAGCAUACUUUGACACUGACAUAGUGCCUUAGCGUAUCUGCUCAAACUCUGCGCGUCAUGUAUCUCGAAGGGACUGAGGAACAAACUCUCUCAGGAACAUCUCUGAAAACUGAGCCUAUGAAAGUGAAGCUGCAUCGGCCGGGCUACUCAACUCAUACUCCCGCCACCACUGAUAUGCUGCUCCCUUAAGCUGGAGCGUUGUAAAAGCAACCCCACUCAUCUCUACAAUACUCAUAGUGCAGAGAAUAUGGUGACACUCCUCUAGAAAACCAUGUGCACCCUCUGAAGCCAAACCACUAAAAGUAGGAGGGGUCAUACUUCUUGAACCUUGCAAGUCUAAGUUGUUCUUCCUCAGAUGCUAUUGCCCUAACCGCGAGUUGAACUGGAACCGCAGGUUGUGUCGCCAUGACACCUGGAACCUGACCAUCGUGAACUCGCUGCUCUUGACUAAGGGCAGUGAGAGUCUGAGUCCCUCCUUCGACAUGUAAAGUAGCUGGUGCAAAUGGAAUCAACCCCGCUUGAGCCAAUGUACCAAAUAUGCUCAGGAACUGGGCUAAAGUCUCCUGAAGUCCGGGGGUAACAGCAUGAUCCUUGGGUACUUGUCCCCCAACCGGAGCUACUGGAGGCUCCUCAACUGCUGCUCUAGUAGGUACCCUAGCCUCGACACGUGCUCCUUUUCGGUGUCUGGUUCUGCCUCUAGCGACAUCUUCUCUGGGAGCAGUGUCAUCGGUAACUGCAGCUCGUGUCCUCACCAUCUGCGAGAGAAUGGAACAGUAAAAACUCAAACUCUAAGAUCAAUAAACUCGCACGAUAGGAAUGAAAGAAGUGAAACUGUCCUAAUAGUUUCGUAGCCUCUCGAAGAUAAGUACAGACGUCUCCGUACCAAUCCGCGAGACUCUACUAAACUCGCUUGUGACUCGUAGCACCUAUGAACCUAGAGCUCUGAUAACAACUUGUCCCCAAACACAAAGACCUACUCGAGGCCUCAAAUCACAUCAAAUAACGUUGAAAUUAUGAAUCACACCUCAAAUCAAAUUUAAUGAACUUAUGAACUUUCAACUUCUACAACUCGCGUCGAAUCAUAUCAAAUCAACCCAGAAUGACGUCAAAUUUUGUAUGCAAGUCCCCAAAUGACAUAACAGAGCUAAUUCACUCUCGAAAUCGCAUUCCGACCCCGAUAUCACCAAAGUUAACUCUCGGUCAAACCUCUCAACCUUCCAAAUCUUCAACGUUCUAAUUUUCACCGAAAUGCUUCAAUUUACCCUACAGACCUCCAAUUCCAAAUUUGGAUGCACUCCUAAGUCCAAAAUCUCCAUACAAAGCCGUUGGAAUCAUCAAAAUGCAAUUUUGGAGUUGUCUAUACAAAAGUCAAAAUUCCGAUCAACCCUUACCGCUUAAGCUUCUAAAACAAGAAUCCUUCUUCCAGAUUGACCCCGAAUCAUCCGAAAAUCGAACUCGACCACACAUGCAAGUUUAUAAUACAAAGCUGCUCAAGACCUUAUACCACCGAACGGGAUGCUAAUUUACAAAUGAUUGGCCGGGUCGUUAUAAUUUUUCCCCAAUUUAAGCUAGUACAAAAGGGGUACGUGGACCUGGUUAGUUCGAUUUUUAUCAAAACCAAACUAAACUAACUAUAUCGGUUUGGAUGAGUUCGAUUUUAUCGGAUUUUUCGAGUUUUUUUAUUAUGUGAAUAUUAUUUUAAUCGUACUUUGUUAAAUUUUUUAUAAGUAAAUAUAUGUUUAGUAAAAGUUAAAAAAAUUGACAAAUAUAUGAUCUAUUAAAAUAUUCUUAUAGAAGAAUUAUUUUAGUAACAUAUGAUAAUUAUUUUUCAGUGGCUUGACAAUAAUUUUACAUCGAUGUAUACUUUCAAGGUUUACCGAAUUUAAUAAUUAAAUAUAUAAUGAUAUGUUCUAUUUAAUUUUAAAUUAUCAAAAUACCAUUUCAAAUUCAAAAAAGAUAUAAGAAUUUAAUAGAUUUUGAUAUAUGAAUUUGAUAAGAAAGAUAUUGACGCAUUUCACUAACACUUGAUAAGAAAGUAAUCAUACAACUCAUUAUUUAAAGUCAAUAAAUAUGGAGUACUUCAUAUUUAACUAAAUAUUACUUCCCAGAAGAAAACCACAAAUAUUUCUAGAUAUUUUUUUUAAAGAAAAUCCUAUAAAAAGUCUUAAAAGUAUAUAUAAAAAUUAUAUAUUUAUAUGUCGGUUUGGUUCGGAUAUUUUUAUUCAACACCAAGCCAAUUAAGACAAAAUUUAAUCGGGCUUUUAAUCAGUCUGAUUUUACUUUUCAGUUUGGUGGGGUUUUCUAGUUCGAUUUGCACACCCUUAACUGUACAAUUAUGAAGUUGCAUUUAUAAGGGAGCCCCUUUGUUUUUAAUAUGAAAUUUUUUAUGCGUUAGAUAAAUUUUAAUACGGAUACUAAACAUCGGGUGAAAAAAAUAAAAAAUAGCCGGUACAAUUUAGUGGUUUCCAUGUGACGACCUACUGUUUUGCCUAUUCAUUUUACUAAAAUAAUAAUUGUCUACUCUUGCUCUCUUCUCCUUUGUGAAGUUAACAGUUAUUCUCGUGACACUUUCCAGGAAACAAAAAAGCUUGUUAAAGGAAAUAGACAAUCAAGUCCAUUACUUUUUUGAUUUUACAACAUGGAUGAUUUUCCUACAAGUGUGUGUAUAUAUAUAUAUAUAUAUAUAUAUAUAUAUAUAUAUAUAUAUAUAAUAAUAAUANNNNNNNNNNNNNNNNNNNNNNNNNAUAUACUCAAAAUCAAUAAAUGAGUCAUGAUUCUGUUGAGUGUUAAGAUUUUGAUGAUUAAGAGGGUUUAUUCAGAUGCAAUGUUCGAAGAACCCGAUCUUCAACGUAGCUGCUUAGAUGUUUUAAAAACCAGUUUUUUCAAGGUAAAUGACUUAGCUCUUAAUGGUUGAUGAAUGUACGUCUUUGCAAGACAACAAUUUUAUCUCAAUGUUACCCAGGUCCGAGUUUGGUGGAAGAAGGUUGCUACAGAUGAUAAGGAUUAUUGCCCAAGAAGAUACGAAAAAAAUCUGAGAGACAAGAGUCUCAAGACUUGUGGAGUCCUUGGAACAAUAGGAGUCCUAUCAAACGAGAAGCUAACUAUGCAUAAGACUCUUAGAAGAUCUUGGAGUCCGGGCAUUUAAAUACUAUCCAUUUGGACGGCUGAGAAAAUCCUUCAACACAUCAACUGAAAAACUACAUUUUGUAUACUCUAGUCGAGUACUAGUGUUGUGUUCUCCUUGAGUCAGUAUAGUGAAUGUGUUUUAGGAAAUUGGGUUGUAAUCAAAGUAUCCCAAAUAAUUAGUGUGUUGGAUUGAGUGUUUGCUUUACAGGUUAGAGUAACUUACAAAUCAAAUAGUCGUAGUAGGAGUACUGGAGAGUAUUGAUUACAGUCUUGUAAUCGAUACAUUUUGACUCAUUAUUCUAGCGGAGUUGAAAUUGAAAAUCCUACACAUUAAGUCGUGGUUCUUGCUAUCUUUUGAGUUUGGUGAUUUUCCACGUAAAAUCGAUGUGUUUACUUUACUGCUUAUUGUACUUCACGUUUAAGGAACGCGAAAAAGAACCAAAUUCUUUAGUAAUUCAUAAAGGCACUCAAAUUAACAGAUUCAACUUGUCUGAAUUUCGUUUUGGACAAUAUUAGUUAUGUCAAGACGGGUCUGGCAUGUCAAGGUAGAGGUAAUGUCUCUGUAUAUAAUAUACUCCUCAUAUCCUAGUAGUGAGAUUACACUAAAUUUUUAUUGUUGUUAUUGUUAUUGUUGUUAUUCAAGACGAGUCUGACACGGAUCAUAACCCUACGCAUCCAAUAUGAUCUAAUCUUUCGACUUUUAAUUUUCUCUUUAAUAGAAUAAUAUAAAAGAUAAUCUAUUUUUCUUAUAUUAGCUUAAGUGCUUAUAAAAUUUACAUAUCUCCUAGACUCCUAUCUCCAAAUUCAAUUCUGGAUUUUUGAGUUUAGAUAACAUUUUAACUUAUGGGGUUACACCAUUUCAUACGCUUUUACUCAAUAAUUUGAUGGAUCAUUUAAACUUCGAGUUACACCUUGAGUCAAUUCACAAUUCAAUCAGCUUAAACUUGAGCAAAAAAUGGCAGUUCGGUGCAUAAAAUAUUUCGCGUUCAUGCAGGAUCCAAGGAAGGACCGCUCCUUAAGUAGGUGUGAUGUAGGCAACCUACCCUGAUACAAGCAUCAAUAAUUAAUUUCACCGUUCGAACCCGUGACCUAUAGAUCACACGAAAAAAACUUGAUUGUUGCUCCAAAACUCCCGUUCUCGUUUAAACUUAACCGAAUUGAAUAGGUUAUUAAAACAAGAAUUCAUGCGUGUGUUAAUACAGGGAGAACCAACUACUUCUCCACUCUCAGAGAAAAUAUUAUCCUAUCAAACUUAAAUUAUUUAAUCUCAGUAAAAUAUUGAUGAGACAAAUAAUUUGAAAGUAGUUAAUAGAUAAUUCUUUUUCUUUGCUUAACCUAGUAAUUUAUAAAAGAAUGUUCCAAACCUUCAAUCAUAUCCAAUCAUUUGAUUCCCCUAAGGUAUCAAACAUGAUUUUCCGACCACCAAAAAAAAUAUGUUGAUUAGAAUUUGGAACAAUUAAUCCUCUGGAGUUGUUCAAACUUAGCUGGCUAUUCUUUUCUUUCAACUUUUUGGCUAUUGUUAACAUUUCUUUCUUUUUCUUUACUUGAUUCUUUAUAUAUUUGUAAAUAUACUACAUUAUAAUUAGUCUUCAGAGCUUUGGUCUAGUUGUAAGAGUGUAGUUGCAUGAUAUGUUGAGCAUACGCGUGUCACGGCGUGUCACGGGUUCAAACUUCUGCAACCGAAAACCUAAUUUUAUAGUUGCAUUAUAUGUUGAGUAGGCGCACGUUACAGGUUCAAAAUUCACCGAACAAAAACCUGAUGUUUGUAUUAGUUGCAUGAUAUGUUGGGUAAACUCGCGAACAAAAACCUUAUGUUUGUAGUUACAUGAUAUGUUGAGUAGGCACACGUCACGCGCACGUCACGGGUUCAAAUUCCUGCGAACAAAAACGUAAUAUUUGUAGUUGCAUUAUAUGUUGAGUAGGCGGACUUCACGAGUUCAAAAUCCCUCGGACAAAAACCUAAUGUUUUUAGUUAUGCAUGAUAUGUUGAGUAGGCUCGCGGGCGAAAAUUUGAAGUCUGUAGUUGCAUGAUAUGUUAAGUAGGCGCAAGUCACAAGUUUUAAAAAAAUCCCUGUUAUAUAAGUAAAGAAUGGUAGAAAAGCAGGCCAAUUAUCUGUCGAUUUUCGAAUCGUAUAUCAGAAAUUUCUUGGUUAUAAAAGAAAUAUGAUAUUAUAAUUAAAUUAUUUGGUGAUGGAUUUAGGUCUUUAAUCAUUUAAGAUAAUUAUUUGUUCUCACAAAGAGACAAAGGAAUAUGGGCCUAUAUCCUCGCAGUUCUUAGCAACUUCCACAUGACUUCAACUUUAAAAUAUUAUGGGAAUAGUGCUAUAUACACUCAUAUGAUUGGUAUGUGCCAAAAAUUAAAUAAAUUACUAAUUGAAAAGUGGAUGAAAAGAGUGAAAUGUGGCUGUUCAAGUUCAAUGAAUUGAAUAAAUUAUGUAUUCUUUUUGUCUAUAAUUAGCCAAAUAUUAAUCCACACUUUUCUACUUUCAAGUUGUAAUAUAUUACUAUUUGUUUCAUACUACCAAAUUCCUUAUUAAGUAUUUAAUUGAAAAUUGAACAUAUCUUGAACAAGUAAACAACUCCCCCAAGCCUGGCAUUAUUAUUAUUAUUAUUAUUAUUAUUAUUAUUAUUAUUAUUAUUAUUAUUAUUAUUAUUAUUAUUAUUAUUAUUAUUAUUAUUAUUAUUAUGGUUAUGGGAAAGAGGGAGACGAAGAAAGGAAUGUUGAGAAAGAGGGAAUCUUUUCUUUUUCUCACAUAGAAUAAUUUACCUACUUAAAGGAAGCAUACCUGUUGAUGAAGAGUAAAGAAAGACAUCGUAUUAUAAUUAAUUUUCAUUCAUUGUUGCCCCAUCUUUAUUCUCUAAGUUCCAAAGUUUAUAUCUGUCGAAUUUAUACCUGACUCAUUUAGAUGAAAUAAACCCACAAAAGAUAUGGUCAGAUUCAGGUAUUUUAGUAUUGACCCGUUUGACAUGGAUGAAAAACCAGGUGGCAACAUUUAAUUGAAUAUUUAUUACACCUCAAAUUUGUGUAUACACACGCACUAUAUUUUUUGCACUGAUUUUAACUUUUGUGUUAAAGUGGAACAUAAGAAAUAGAGUUGAAAGGUCAAAAUGGAACAUAUAAAAUAGUGUUGGAGGGCCAAAAUGAAAUAAGGUACAAAUAAAGUGUCAAAAUGAAAAAUUAGUGAGACACACUUCAGUCGAUAUUAGUCGGACCAAUACCUUAUUGAAUAGGCCGUGGGCACGGAAAAGAAUCGAGUCGACCAGGCUCAACGUUCAGGAGAAGCUAAAUGAAAUUAGGAUCUAACCGAACUCGUCGGACCCAUUGUAUGAAGUACCAAAACUUAUAAAAUAGGUACAUAUGAGAUAAUAUCUUACGAGGACUUUGACAAAGUCAUCAACGUAACAACAACGACAAUAAUAAUAAUAGAUAUUGAAAGGGAAAAUAUUGGAAAUUUAAUUAGUCUCAUUUGGUUGUCUAUAUUAGUCACAGCUAGGUAGAGAAUAAAGUUUUGGAAAAGAAAAAGCAAGCUGUAAAUGGGAACAAUUAUGUGUAUUUCAUUACGCGGAGAAACUUUAGGGUUUUUUUUUUCACAUCUUAAUUUUGGGGAUUAAGGUUAAUUAAUUAAAUUAGCACUGGACCAAUUAGUUCAAAUGUCCUUACUUUAAUUUAGACCACUUUCACUUUUCUCUAUCUCAUAAUGUUACUCGAUUUAUAUGAUAAAAAACUUAAUACACUUUUGUAAGCUAGCUAAUUAUAGAGAGGGCAUUAAUUGGAAGAAAAUUGCAAUAUUUUCUUUUCAAGAAAUUUAGUUGUUUUAUUAUAAAACUUACAUUAGCCAUAUCAGCAAAAAUCAGAUGCGGGGCUAGGAUUUAAACCUGCGGGUUCAACUUUGAAAAUUCUUAGCACUGAAUCCAUUAUAAUUUUAAUUUUAAUAGAUUUUAUAUAUAAAUUUAUGAUCCACGUCGAAAGUUAUGGGUUCAAUUGAACCUGUACUUAUAAAGCUACAUUCGCCUCGGCAAAAAUUAUUAUACUAGAAAUUUCAUUUUUAAUUUAUAGGUGUAAUAUUAUAAAAGUAAAAUGAAAUGCCAACUUAGAACAACUAGCAGCCACAACAAACAUAUUGUCGUUAGGUUAUUCAUUUAUUCUUAAGUACAAUUAAUUCUCUAAUUUGGGUAAUUAAUGAACUGUAAUUCGAGUUAUAUGUGCUUUCUUCUUCAAAUUCCACUAAUUAGUUAAUAAUGAAAGCAUAUAAGGAGUAUUUCAAGUAAAAUAAUGGUUCGCUCCCAAAUAAUUAAACUUUUUUUAGUUGAAAAUGAUGUUUAAACGCAAUUUCAAAUAUUCUUUUCAACUUUAAUUUCAGUACUUUAUUUUAUUUUAUAAAAUGCCUACACAAAUUUAUUUUUAAAAGAAAGAAGGAACAACCUUUUCAACCUUCNNNNNNNNNNNNNNNNNNNNNNNNNNNNNNNNNNNNNNNNNNNNNNNNNNNNNNNNNNNCGACUUUUCGAAUCUUAUAUUUGUCUUAAAUUUUUUAUUGAAUAUGCAUAAAUUACUAAUUUAGAUCCCAAUAAUUUACGGCGAUUAAAAUCCUGAACUCAUAAACUUGAAAUCAUAGCUCUGUAUAAUUGAAUUCAUUUUCAAAAUAUUGCUGGUUACAUAUUGUAUUGAACUUUUGAAGAUGAGUUUCAAAUUUAAAAAGUGGUUUUUAAUUAUUUUUCAAAUAAAUAAUAUUUUCUCAAAAUACUACAAUAUUUUUCAAGUAAAAUAUAUGUUCAAAUAUAAUUUUAAUUUUCAAUUACUUUUUCCAACUCAACUUUAAAAAUUGUACUUUUUAAAAAAUCUUAUACUUGUCAGUCUGACCAAUAAAGAAGGGAUUGAAAAUAAGGGAGCCGAAGAAUCAUAUGAAAUUGUUGGAAAAUGGGUCCCAAAUUCUGUGGCAGAAAUAAUACUUUUGGUUGACGGGCUGCAUGUUGCCUACUGCCGACAAAAACGGAAAGAAAACCGUGAAAUUGUAAAUUUCAUAAGUCAAGAGUCAAGGCUCCUCCAUUCUAAUUAAUUAAUAUUAAAAAGAAUUUUUCAUGUUUCAUAUUUAAAUUAAAUUAAUUUUACUCAAUGUCCUUUAUUUGCUUUAGAGUCCGAAUUAAUCUGAAUUCGCGUCAUAUAAGACUCAAUAAAGGAGAAAACAUUCUCUAUUAAAUUCUUUUCAUUCCCAAAAUUCGAAACAAAAUCUGAGAUUAAGGGUGAAAAGAUCGUAUUCAUCACACCAUUAUUUUUUGUGUAUUAAUUUUAUUUUAUUUUAUUAUAAUUAAGCCAUAAAAAUAUCAGAGCUUUGUACUUAGUGACUAGUUCGAGCCUUAGAAGCAUGUGAAGGAAUAAGGUCUGGAAUAAGUCUUGUAUGAGUCCUUUAAUCUCCGAUCUUGCUAGCCGGAGGUUCGGUCUUUCAAGAUUCAAUCUUUCCCCUUUCGGUCCUAGGGAAUCGCUCUUAUAGUAGGUGUCAAAAGAACUCGGCAAAAUGACUCUGUAACUUCUGAUAUAUAAAAAUAUAUAUUAUUAAUUGAGUAUUAUUAAAUAACAAAACUUUAGGUAAGAGACACAAAAUUCAUAUAUUUAUUGAUUAAUUCAAAUGCAACACAAUAGAUUAGUUUUUUUUUUCUCCAAUUUCUAUUUUGAGAGCUCUUUUUUAUUGCUAAUAUUUCCCCAUAUAUUACGUGGCUCUCUUCCUUUUCCGCCCGUGCCUUCCUUAUUUACAUUCUUUUUUUUUAAUCAUUUAAUAAUGAUACUCGUAGUUAUAGACGGAGCCGGAAUUUGAAGGUUAUGGAUUCGGGGUUCUAAUUAUUUUAAGUUAUUGGGUUUUAAAAUAAUAAUUAGUACAUAUUCACUGAAUUUCAUAAGAUAAAUACAAAAUUUUGACCAAAGGUACUGAAUUCGGCCGAAACUAUAACUGAUGGGUUUGCUUGGCCCCUGCUCGUAGCAUUUAGGUCAGUCUACACAUUUCGAUUCUCGACUAUUCAUAGUCUUUUUAUUUUUUUCUAAUUAUUUAAAUUAAUUGGCUCCAACUUUACAUCAAUUUACCAGUUUUGCUUUGGUUUUGGCUUUAAUACAUUUCUUGAGUUUUGACUAAUGUUGGUUCCUCGAACAUGAUUUGUCCUUUGAUUUUUUCCCUCUUCCAUGUUUCAUAUUAUCUGAAUUAAAUAAUUAAUCACACACACAAAAAAAAA
rnacentral:lncRNA from 1 species